UGUACCUUAAGUGGUUAUGAAUAUUCAUCUUGCACUUAAGGUUUUAAGUUCGAUUUCUUCCUCCUUCACUAUUGUUUGUAUAAAAAAAGGUCAAUGUGUAUUUUAGACAUGGGAUGAGAGCAAUUCAUUGUACGAUCUCGUUAAUCUGACUCGAAAAAAACAUAUUUCGAGUUAAUCUGUUAAUAGGUCGGAUCAUUAUCGGAUCACCUCUUAAGAAUUCAAUAAGAUAUCGUUUUUCAGAUCUAGACAUUAGGUAUAACAAUUACUUGUAAGACUCGUUAGCGACUUGGGUCGUUAUCCUAUCACAUAUUAAAAACUCGUAAAAAUAAUUUGUAUGACAUGAAAACAACACGAACAAACAACACAUGGCAUGUUUACCAUGCCAAAUAACAACUAUGCAUGAUCAACCUAAUAACAACACAUGGCAUGUUUACCAUGCCUAAACUCGAUCUAACAGCUGAAAACGCGUUUCUAUUCAACCUAAAUUCACAAAAGGGAAAAUUUUCAUUUUCUGGCUCACGUUGGAGGUACAAUUGGGCCAUAUUUAGACAUUCACUGUGAUGGUUUGGUAUAAACAAGGCCUGCCUGCCACUCGCCAACAGUCCAACCUUUAUGAACAACUUGAUGUACACUUUCUUCAACUAGUGUAAAGUUCCUUUGAGAUUUUGUCACUUGGGACAAGCAGAAUCGAAUAUGAGCGGUACUUGGAGUUGGAAUUUAUAAUUGAAGAAUAUUAUCUAACUUCUACAUUUGCCUUUUUCUAUUUAUUUUUCUCUGUCAUCACUUGAUACGUGUGUUCUAUUCAAAUUAAACUACAUAAUUAAUGCAUUAAAUUCAUAAAUUCUAAUUUUUCAAUUUUUUAUAAUUUUUUAUAAUUAAAAGGAGGGGAGGGUUCGAACUAUUACAAUAAUUUAAAAUAUAUAGAGUUUCGAACUUAACGCAUGAGUGAAGACUCAACACUCUAUUCACUAGAAUAUUUGACCUUAAAAGCAUGAAUUAUGUAGUUUAAUUUAUUAGUUGAUUACAUGUAUCAAGUGAGGAUAGGAAAAUGUAGAUAGAUAAAAGGCAAAUGGGAAGGGUAGGAGGAACUUGUCCAAAAUCCACAAAUUUUUCCAUUUUAAUCUUUAACUUUCAAGACUCAAAACAUCUUCUACAGAUAUGUCAAACUAUUAGUGAAUGAUUUAGAAGUUGGCACCUUAUGUAGAUACUCUCAAUUAGUCCAUUGAACCACAUAAAAUCACAAGCAUAUAUCACUUCCUUUCAAUGCCGAAAUGAUCUGAAGCGAGUCGCUCUCGAAAAUAACAUUGUAGAAACCCUUUAUCAACACCAAAACCAAGCCUUCCCUAAAAGCUAAAGCCUCCGCGUGAAGAGGGGAUGGAACAAGCUGAAGUUUCUCACAGCCCCUGUAACAAAAUUUCCAUGGUAGUCACCCACCAGCACCACAAUUCCAACACCUUUAAUCUUGAGAUCCUUGUUCCAAGCAGGCAAGCACCGUCAAUGUUCACCUUGAGCCGCCCCAAAGGUGGUCUUUUCCAUUUGAACUCUUCCGGGUUAGAAGGUCUGGGCUUAGGGGGGCUUGAGUUGGUACAAACAAACUCAUGCCAGAGACAUAACACGAGAGACAAGGAGAGACAAGGAUGUUCGGGGCUUCAAGCUUGUUAUUGCAAAGCCUUGAGUUCCUUGCUCACCAUAUUCCCCAACUCAACAUAACGAGGAGGGUGGGAAAGAAUGCAGUCGCAGCGAGCGAGUGACUAGAAUCAUAGUAAUUUACUAACUAGUUAGCGUUUAAGCACUUACGUGCAUAUAUUUAAUUUACAAUAUUAACUAUGAUGAUUGUUAAUGUAUCUGUCUCUCUAAAUAGUCUACUUUGGUUAUCAAAGAGCAAACAACAUGUGCAAAGAGAACAAACCAACUCUAACUUCAAUUUUUCUGGUGUGUUUGUGGUGUAAAUGUAAUCAUGGGACAAUCAAAGCAGUAAAGAUAUAUAGGAUAGGAUCAUUGGAGAGUGAUUAAAAUAUACAAAUUAGGGUUUUAAUAAGGUGAUCUCAAUAUGUAGGACCCAUAAAUAGAAAUUCAGAAGGCAAAGAAAUGAGAUUAAUUUAUGAAAAAGAGACCAAGCUUUCAAGGGAGCUUGAGAACCGUGGUGACAUUAUUCGUAUCAGUAGGACUUUCCAGCUUUGCUCCAAUCAUGCAUAUCAAUUAAAUGAAAAAAAGAUCCAAAAUUAUAUAGAAUUUACUUAAUAGAUGCUCUUUUCUCUUAGCUUUGAUGAACGCCAUAGGGUUUAUUUAGAAGGAUACUUGCAUCUGUUUAUUUGAUACAUUUGGAAUUAAACAAUAUUCGAUUUGAAUGAUUUAUUUGUAAGGAUGAGAUCUUCAAAUGAAGAUUAAGAAUUUGAACGACUUCGAUUAUGAAUUUAUACAAUGAAAAUACGUUAUUCGCAAAUGAUAAGAUAUUUGCAUUAUUCAUCCCUUAAAUGAUGCAAGUAUUAUCGGUUUAGUUAUUAAAUUGAAGAUAAAUAAUAUGGAAGCUAGAGAUCAUUUAUUUUUUUUCCCUCCAUAAAAAACUCAACAUGAAUUAAUUAGACCAAUUGAUAAAAAAAAAUGUGCUUGUCAUUUUAAAUUUGUGCUUCGAUCUUUCUUCUUAUGGAUUGAAAGAAUAACGCUUUGUGAACAGAAAAUUUUCUUUUGGAGAAAACAAAUCAAUGGGAGAAGGUAGUACUAGCACAUCAUAUGGUGUCAUUUAUUGGAUUAUAUGAAAACACAUAAAGUCGUACACGGACACAUGCAUGUUCUUUAACUCUAGUAAGUUCUAUGGUACAUGAAAUAAUUCAAAUUUGAGUAAUGCAUGGGUAGAGAGUACUAUAUUUAGAAAAAUAAUUAAUGACAUAAUAUCGAAUGAUAACUCUGCAUAUGCAAUGAGUAUUAGUAUAUACUAUUUACAUUAGUCUUGUUGGUAUCACACAUAUUGGAUCUCAGACUUUGACACAUUGGACCUCAUUAUCCAGCCCAUAAUUAUGUAAAAGGAGGAGCCCUUAUUCUAUAAAAGAGGACUCCUCCCCCCUCACAAAGGAGACUAGGGGAUACCUCCAAAACAUACAAGUCUCAAACAACUCAGAGACAACUCUUUCUUCCUCAGGGGAACUCCCCUUGAGCUUGUAAUUCAUACAUACAGUUACAGAGAAAUACAAUCAACAUCAGUGUGGACAUAGCCCAAACAUUGGGAUGAACCACGAUACAUCUUUGUGUUUUUGGGCGUUUGCAUGAUUCACGGUCGGAUUUACGUUGUUCCAAGACCUUCCGGUUUUGUGCAUCAACAAGUCUAAUACUCUAAACCAAGUAGACAGGGUGCUCAAACAAGUAAAUGAAUAGACUCCACUGAUGCCUUCUGAACGGUGAGAACCAGUUUGCACGUAUUGGUAUCGAUCUUGAUUACAAAAGAUUAAUUAGAUGUUAUGGUUGUAGAUCAAGACGGUUUGUUAAAAAAUAAAUAAAUAACUAACUUAAGUUAAGUUACAAUACAAGAACUCAUGAGAAAAUGAAAAUACGACUGCGAUGCCGACCUAGAUACAUAGAUUGUUUCUUUUGACAAAUGUUGUUACAUUUGUUUUUAUCUUAGUACUUAGUAAUAUGCAUUAUACACGUAGCCACCUAUAUUUUCUAUAAAUAAAAACCACUACACGUAUGUCUAGAUAAUAUACUAUAAAUAAAAACCACUAAACAUAAUCAUAACAUUAAUUUAUGAGUCUGAACACUCUUUCACAUGAUUAUAUAUCUAAAGCAAUAGGACAGGAAAAACUAUACUCUUUCAGAUUUUAUAGUUGUUAGAGACUGGUGUAUUAUAGCCACCUGCAUGCAACCAAGUAAACAUACUUGGGAAUGAAGAGUACAAAGAAUUCAAAUUCUCUCUAGAUCUCGCAAUCCGGACUAAAUAAAUUGAGAAAUUCGGACGGUUUAAGAGAGAAGAGGAGAGGAGAUCUAAACUUUUAAUUUGUGUGAAGUGAACCAGUGAGAUAAGGGCCAUAAGAUUUAAAUAAGUAAUCUGAAUUUCUCGACCUAUCUAUUUUGAAUUUCAAAAUUCGGAAAAAAACUUGAUUCUAGUAAAAGAACUUGUAAUUUCUACAUUUAUCCCAUCCAUUCUAAUGAUCAAGCCCAUUUGAGGCAAGUAAUUUUAUCUUUCUUGGAAGGGUUUUUAUCACAAAUGGUCCCUGAAAUUGACCUACCCAAUCAAGAUGGUCCUUGAAAUUGAAAAUCGAUUAAUAUAGUUCCUGAAAUUGGGUGUCGCAAAUCAAUGUAGUCAUUCCGUCACAACUCCGUUAAAAAUUUUGUUAUGUGCUGAUAUGGCACAUAAUUGGGUUCUACAAUAUAAUAAAAUAUUGCCAUGUGGAUUAAAAGUAUUUAAAUAAUAAUUAAAAAACUAUUUUACAUAAUUAAAAACAAAAAAAAAGAGAAAAAGAAGAAGAAGAUGACUGUUCUUCCCCUCCUACCCAGCGACCCACCAUUUUCAUAAUCUAGCUCAAUUUCAUACUAGCUUGAAUACUAAACUGAACAUAUUCAAAAUCCAAAAAUUGAUCAAUCAAAGAAAUCUCUUACUUAUUUACAUGUAUAACACAGGCUGAGCAUUGAGCAAGCAUCAAGUAGCAGUAAGUACCUUGGUUCCAGGAACGAGCUUCUGUGAGCCCAAGUUUCAAAAGCCGCCGACUACUCGAAUUCCUCGCAAAAGAAAGACCACAUUUUUCUGUCCCUUCAUCUAUUUUCUCAGCAACCAAACAGAAAACGAGAAAAAUUAACGAGAAAUACAGAGAGGUGUGAUUUACCUGGAGGACUUUGGAGCCGAGGAGGUGAGAGGACUUUCGGAGCGUAUGCGGGUCGGGCAAGGACCUGGCGGAGAUGGAUUUUAGGUCCAUGUUGGUGAGCUCGGCUUCCACUGAAUUCACCACCUUACGCUUGUCGUCGGACAAGGCGGAGUGGAUCAGGAUAAUCGCCUCCACUUGUUCGUGGUCGCGAAGCACCAUCCUCUGGUUCUUAAGGUUUCGAUUGCGGCGUCGGAAGCGGCACCGGAACUCCCUCCAUUUUUCAGCGCCUGUUUGCCGCGGCCUGCACCUCCAGGUCGAGCAAUAUCGAGGAAGUUUCAUUUCAAAUUACCGUCACCGGCGAACACGAGGAAUGCGGGAAGGGGUGCGACGGUGCCGUUUCAAGGGGAGAAGAAUGGUGGGUCGCUGGGUAGGAGGGGAAGAAGAUGAUGAACGGUCAUCUUCUUCUUCUUUUUCUCUUUUUUUUUUUUGUUUUUAAUUAUACAAAAUAAUUUUUUAAUUAUUAUUUAAAUAUUUUAAUCCACAUGGUAAUAUUUUAUUAUAUUGUAGAACCCAAUUAUGUGCCAUGUCAGUACAUAACAGAAUUUUUAACGGAGUUGUGACGGAAUGACUACAUUUAUUUGCGACAUCUAAUUUCAGAAACUGCAUUGAUCGAUUUUUAAUUUCAGGAUUAAAUGUGUUAAGUUUAGAAAUAAAAACUCUUCUUGGAAUAGGGAAGAGAUACAAUCAAUGUUUGGAAAAUUUGUGAGAAAAAACGAUACCAUGAUGUGAGUACUCUGUGUAAACGAAAAACACUUGCACGCAAAUGCGUCAGUUUCUUUAAUCAAUAACACAAUAUUUAAAAACUUUAGUACGUAUGACGAUGCACUACAUACUUCAUAUGCCACCAACUUAGUGUUCCAUUUACAUAUUUAUUCUCUGUUGCAUGUACAUUUUUCUGUUUCAAUUGUACAUAGGUUUUUCUAUUUCUGAUGCAUAUUAGUUUUUCUUACCAAAAAUCCGAUUGUACAUAGAUUUUUCUAUUUCUGUGGUAGGUAAGUUUUUUUUAUCGAUAAUCCAUUUAGAUAAAAGAAGGUUUUCUACAAUAUCACUUUUCAAUGAUUUUACGGAGCCCUCCUCAGUAAGUGAGUUGGACUGGUCUUUGAUCCAAUUCCCCAUGCAAAUAUAUUCAAACUCUGUGAGAUGACUACUUAACACAGAGCACAAAGUUGUAUUAAGUAAUGUUGAAGAGAAUAAAUUUAUAAAUUAAGUUUCCUGAAAAUUGAUAAUUGAAUUACUAAUUAAAUAUUGAUAAAUAUGUUUAAUUUUAUUGAUGAUAUAUCAUUUAGUUUUUAAAUUUUAUCUAUAAAUUUAAUUUCUUUAACAAUACUCUGUCCAAAUAUAUACAGUUUGGUAUUAGUUUAUCAAAUUUGAACCCAUUUGGACACGAACCCUAGUGUACAAAACAAGGUGCUGAGUUAGGAUUCCACUCCCAAAGUCCUUCUCUGAAGUCCUUUCUGACCAAUCUUUGGCUUCUGUGAACCAAGUGAGUGAGAUUAAGAUGUAAAGCACAUAAAAACAAAAAGAACCCAAUACAAAUUAUUAUUUGAUUAUUCAGGACAGUAACAAAAAUAAUAUUAUACAAAAUACCAUCCAACCAUACAUUCACAAUUAGGAACCAGGAUUCUCUCCUGAACAUUUCCCUAGGAAUCCUGCAAUCUUAUCCGUUCAUCGUGUAUCGUACGGUCAGAAAUUAUUUUAAAAUUCAAAUAUGAAUAGUAACUAACGAAAACUGACCGCACGAUAUAAAAUAAACGGACAAGAUUGCGGAAUCCCUAGGGAAAUGCUCAGGAGAGAAUCCUGAUUCCACAAUUAGAUUCCCCCAUCCAUCUCUGUCCAGCUUGUUUAUCGAUCGAUCGAGACAGAGAGAGAGAGAGAGAGAGAGGGAAAAGAGAACAUUAAGAGAUGGGUUAACUGCUGUUCUUGUUGGUAAUUUUGUUUAUUUAAUGGUUUGCAUUUUACAUGAUUGGCCCCCAACUCCCACUAAUUAUCUUAUUAUCUUAUCGACUAUAAAACGUCGUACCAGCAAGAAACUUUUUGUCUUUUUUGGAAACUUUGACGGUACGAGGAUAAUUUUAUAGAUAACAAAAAAAUAAGUUACACUUAUUCAUGAGGGACAUAAACCCUACUCUUAAAAAAAUAGAGAAAACAAAAAGGAAUACACAAAAAAGAAGGGGGUAAACCUACGAAGAAAAGGGAUGGGGGACAUGAAACCUAACCUUUCUAAAACCAAACCUAAAGGUCUAAACUUGCAAAACAAGUCAAACAACACCAUAAAGUUGGGAGAAAAAAAAAAGUGAGACAAACCUGGAUGCCGACAUGCACAUUAAUUUGAGAAGCGGUAGUCAGGCAAGCCAACAUAGUCUGAAAACAAAGUAGCACGAACCGCCAUCGGAGGAGAAUCAUGCCAUGUUAAAGAUGGAGAAGACAAGCCCAUGUUAGCAAAUUAUCCGCAACAAGAUUUCCUUCACGAUAUAUGUGAGAUGUGUAUAAAGUCAUUUUCUGAAUGCGAUCCAAACAAAUAGACCAUUGCGUAUGAAGAGGCCAAAGUGAUUGGUUUUCUCUUUCUUCUGGUUAUCACCUUAUUCGUAGGAGACAUAGUGAUUGUGCUUGGGCUAAAGUUAUCUGGCAACAUUUUAUUCCAUCACGACUAUCUAUUUUGGCUUGGAGGCUUUUUCAUGAUAAACUUCCUACAGAGAGUGCACUACAACGACGUGGUAUUUCUUUGGCAUCCAUUUGUUGUUUAUGUCGUAGUUCUGAAGAAUCUAUUAUUCAUCUUUUCUUUGGAUGUCGGAUAUCUAGGCAAUUUUGGAGGUGGUUAGCAUGUCAAUUUGAUACCUCUUUGCCUUUUUCAGAUUAUUUGGCUGUUUUUUGGGAUGUCUAUGUCUGUAAGCCCUUUUCCAAACAGUUGCACAAUCUAUGGAUUUUUGCGGGUCUUUCUACUAUUUCAGCUAUUUGGAAGGCUCGAAAUAAAUUUAUUUUUUAGGGUCGUCCAAUUUAUUUUCAUCGUCUUUGCAUGUCUAUCAAUUUGGCAACUGUUCAUGGUGGGAAGUUUAUUCAUGGUUAUUCUCAGGGUUUUAACACUCGAAUCAUUUCUUCUUUGGGGAUCCGACCUAUCCCUUGCAAGGCACCUAUUAUUCUUCUUGUCCUUUGGUCUUCUCCUUGGUUUCCUUGGGUUAAGCUUAAUACAGAUGAUUUGUCUAAAGGAAAUCUCGGUCCUGUUGCUUGUGGAGGAGUUUUCAGGAAUUGCCAUAGUCAUUUUCUUGGAGGUUUCUAUCAAUGGAUUAGUCAUCGCAACUCUUUUUUUGCAGAGUUAUCAGCAAUUAUUAUUGGUAUUGAGUUUGCAUAUCAACGGGGUUGACAUUGUUUUUGGUUGGAAAGUGAUAGUUCUAGCAUUAUUUCUGCUAUUUUGUCGUACCGGCAAGAAACUUGUAGCUUAAAUGGUUAUGAUUAUUUAUCUUGCACUUGAGGUUUUAAAUUCGAUUUCUUCCUCCUUCACUAUUGUUUGUAUAGAAAAAAAUGUUCAAUUUGCAUUUUAGACAUGGGUUGAGCGUAACAACUAGCCUGACAAUUUUUUGUACGACCCGUUAAUCAGACAAGAAACGACACGAAAAUAACAGGUUUUAGGUUAACCUGUUAACAAGUCGGUCGCUAAUGAGUCACCCAAUAAGAUAUCAUUUGCUAGACCUAAACAUUAGAUAUGACAAUUUCUUGCAUGACUCGUAAACGAAUCGGGUCAUUAUCGAAUCACUUGUUGAAAACCCGUUAAAAUAACGAGUUUGACACGACAUAACAUGACCCGUUAAGACAACAUAUAUGACAUGAAAGUGACAUGAACACGAAAAACACAACCCAUUUGUCAAGCCUAAUAACAACUAUGCAUGAUCACUCGCUCUUUGUAUUCGAAUUUAAAUCUCCUUAUCUAAAAUUAUAGUAGUUUGAAAUAAAAUAUCAUAUUGUUAAAGAGCAAAACAUUUGACACUCCUCCAUUUUAGAUAUAUAAGGAAAUGGAAGUAUUAGCCACAUGUAAUCGCUCCUUUUUAUUCGAGGUCGCAUCUCUUUUGUGGUAAGUUAGAGCAUUUUCGAAUCAUUAUUGGAAAAAAAAUCAUUUCACUCACCUCCAUUAAAAAUAAGAAAUUUGCGAAUGAUCUUUUUACAAUGCUAAUCAUUUAUAAUAUUUUACUCUUUUAUGAAUGAGUUGUUAUGCUCACGAUAUUAUUUGAGUGUGAAGUUCCAUUCAAUGGCUGCACAAACAAAUAAAUUUUGAUUAAUGUAUAUCAUCAAUCUAAGAACUAGAAACCAAAUACAUAUAUUAAUCACCGUCGAUGUAAUGUUAAGGAUAUUAAAUUUUUAAACUAAAUUUUGCAAAAUAAAUGAUGUGGUUGUUGAUGAUUGGAGUAUCAUUUAAAUAUUGAUUAACGUGUUUAUUUCUUAUUGGGGACACCUCCUUUAGUUUGCCUGGUAGUCAAGCACCAGCACCACAAUUCCAACACCUUUACAUUCUUGUUCCAAGCACCGUCAAUCUUCACCUUGAGCCGCCGUAGAGGUGGCCCUUAUCAUUUGAACUCUUCCGGUUUAGAGGGUUUGGGCUUGAGUUGGUACGAACAAACUCAUGCCACAGAGAAAUAACACAAGAGACAAGGAUGUUCGGGGCUUCAAGCUUGUUAUUCCAAAGCCUUGAGUUCCUUACUCCCCAAAAUGCUCGAUUCAACAUCAUAAGGAGGGUGGGGAAAGAAUGCAGUCGUAACGAGUGACUAGAGUCAAAGUAAUUUACUAACUAGUUAAUCUUUAAGCACUUACGUGCAUAUAUUUAAUUUACGAUAUCAAAUAUGAUGGAUAUUCAUGUUUUUGUUUCUCUAUAAAUUAGUCUACUUUAGUCAUCAAAAGGCGAAAAACAUGUGCAAAGAGAAUAAACCAACUCUAACUUCAAUUUUCUUGUGUGUUUGUGGUGUAAAUGUAACCACGAGACAAUCAAAACAGCAAAGAUAUAUAGGAUAGGAUCAUUGGAGAGAGUAAUAAAAAUAUACAAAUUAGGGUUUUAAUAAGGUGAUCUCAAUAUAUAUGUAGAGACCCAUGAAAUAGAAAUCAGAAGGCCAAAAAAUGAGAUUAAUUUAUAAAAGAGACCAAGCUUUUAAGGGAGCUUGAGGACUGUGGUGACAUUAUUUGUGUCCGUAGGACUUUCCAGCUUUGCCCCAAUCAUGCAUGCAUAUCAAUGAAAUGAAAAAAGCUCCCAAAACCAAAUAUAAUUUACUUAAUAUAUGCUCGUUUCUCUUACCUUUCAUGAAGACCAUAGGGUAUAUUUUGGAGAAUACUUGCAUCCACGUCUAUUUGAUACAUUUGAAUAAUUAAAUAAUUUUAUAUUCGAAUGAUUUAUUUGUAGGAUGAGAUCUUCAAAUGAAGGUUGAAAUUGAAAGGUUUCGAUUAUAAAUUUAUACAGUAAAAAUAUUUUUUUCAAAGAUAGUAGGAUAUGUGCAUUAAUUCCUCCUUGAAUGGUGCAAGUAUUAUCAGUUUAGUUAUUAAAUUAAAGAUAAAUAAUAUGGAAGCUAGAGAUCAUUCAUUCUUUUUCCCUCCAUACUUUUGAGAAAAAUGCAACCUAAAUUAGUUACCAGUUGAUCAAAGUAGCGUGCUUGUUUUUUUAAAUUUGUGUUCGAAUCCUUUUUCUUAUAGAUCGGAAGAAUACAUGCUUGGUGAAAAAAAAAUCUUUCAGAGAAAACAAAUCAAUGACAUAAGGUAGCAUAUCAUAUGGUGUAAUUUAUUGAAUUAUAUGAACCCACAUAAAGUCGUACAUGGCCACAUGCAUGCUCUUUAAAUCUUACAAGUUAUAUGGUACAUGAAAUAAUUUAGAGUUGAGUAAUGCAUAGGUAGAGAGUACUAUAUAUAGAUAAAGAAUUCAUGACAUAAUAUCGAACGGUAACUUUAGAUAUGCAAUGAGUUUUUAGUAUGACUAUUUACACUAGUCUAAUACUCUAAUCCAAGUAGACAGGGUUCUCAAACAAGUAAACGAAUAAACUCCACCGAUGCAUUUUGAGCGACGAGAAUCAAUUUGCGCAUAUUGGUAUUCGUCUCGAUUACAAAAGAUUUUAGAUGUUAUUGUCGUAGAUCAAGAUGAUUUGUUUAAAAAAAGUAAAUAGCGUACUUAAAUUAAGCUACACUACAAGAACUCAUGAAAAAGUAGAAAUACGUUGCCGGCCCAGAUACAUAGAUUAUGUUUCCAUGCCUAGACAUCGAUGGAAAAAAUUUAGAAGUACAAAAUUUAUAAACACGUGAUAAAAAAUGUUCAGAAUGUGAGAGAGUACCAAUUGAAGAGAAGAAUUCUAUGUGAUUUAGUCAUCCAAGUUAAUCUUAAAUCCCUACUUUAAGGUUAGACAAAUUUAUGGCAUGUUUAAUAUUCGGAAUGGAGAAAUCAUGAAUUGUCAGUGGUAGGGAAGAUAGGAUGAGCAUAGAUAAGUUACCCUUCUAAUUAAUCUAAUUUGUGGGUUUUCAGAUGUCAGGUUACAAAUUGUAUACAUGUUCGUGUUAGUAAACGUUGUAAUGGAUGUCUGAAAUUCAAAUAUACUUUCAUUGUGUAUUCUAUGAAAGUAAAUAUGCAUAAAUUUCUUUUGAAAAAAUGUUGUUACAUUUGUUUCGAUGAGAUCCUUAAUCAUAGUACUUAGUGAUAUACAUUAUACGUGCAGUCACCCAUAUUUUUAUAAAUAAAAUCCACUACAUAUGUGUACUUAAUCAUAAUACUAAGAGUCUGAACACUCUUCCACAUGAUAUAUAUAUAUAUAUAUAUAUAUAUAUAUAUAUAUAUAUAUAUACACAGGGAGCUUAAGGGGAGGGAUCCCCAUUUUUUCAAAAAAAAUGGGGACACGCUCCCCACCGUUAGAUUGACUUUAAUGAAAUUGUGUUGUUGAAAUUAAAACACAGGCCAUAGAAUCUCAACCACAGGAUUUCAUUUAAGUCAAAUCCAACGGUGGGGAGCGUGUCCCCAUUUUUUUGAAAAAAUGGGGAUCCCUCCCCUUAAGCAAUUCCUAUAUAUAUAUAUAUAUGUAUGUAUGUAUGUAUGUAUGUAUGUAUGUAUGUAUAUAAGAAAAAGGACAGAUUAUACUAUUUCAGAUUUUAUAAUUGUCACAGACUGGUGUAUUAUAGCCCACAUGCAUGCAACCAAGUAAAAGUACUUUUUUUUUUGUCAAUCAAGUAAAAGUACUUGGGAAUGAAGAGUAAAAAGAUUUUUUCUAGAUCUCGCAAUUCGGAUUUGACGGGUUGAGAAAUUUGGACCGUUCAAGAUAGUGAAAGUCAAAAUUUUGUUUUGUGCGAAAUGAGCUAAUGAGCUAGGCUAAUAAGGAUCAUAAGUGUUAAAAUAAAUAGUCUGAAUUUCUUAGUCUGUUGACUCUGCAUUUCAAGAUCCUUUCGGAAUCUUGAUUUGAGUAAAAAAACUUGUAAUUUCUACAUUUAUCCCAUCCAUUCCAAUGAUCAAAUCCCAUUUGAGGCAAGGAAUUUAUCUUCUUGGAGCAGGGAAGAGAUACAAUCGAUGUUUGGAAAAAUUGUGAGAUAAAAAACGAUUCUAUUUUUUUUUCAUAAAAAAAAACUAUUUUCCGAAUACUUUGUGAACGAGAAAAAAUUAUAUGUAAAUGUGUUAGUUUUUUUAACUAAUCACAAUUUAUUAAAAAUUUUAGUACAUACAAUACACUAUAUACUUAAUAUGCCACCAACUUCAUGUUCCAUUUACAUUGCAUGUAUGUUUUUAUAUUUCGGUUGCAUGUAAAUUUUUCUUAUCAAAAAUCCAUUUAGGUAAGAAAGUUUUCUACAAUUUCACUCCUCAAUGAUUUUACUGAGUUCUCAGUAAGUGAGUUGGACUGGUCUUUGGUCCAAUUUCCCAUGCAAAUAUAUUCAAACUGUGUCGGAUGACUUCACACAUAGGGCAAAAAACCUGCAUUCCCAAAUAUAUAUAGUCCAGUAAAAUAUACAUUACUAUACAGUUAUAUAUUUAUUUAUUUAUCAAAUUUGAACCGAUAUGGACACGAACCAUAUUGUACAAAACAAGGUUCUGAGUUAGGUUCCACUCCCAAAGUCCUUUUCUCCAAAGUGCUUUCUGACCAACCUUUGGCUUCUGUGAACCAGUGAGAGAGAUCAAGAUGUACAGCACGUAAAAACAAAAAGAAAUUGGCAAACCCCAAUACAAAUUAUUGUUUGAUUAUUCAGUACCAUAACAGUAACAAUAUUAUACAAAAUAUCCCUCUUCUGCAAACUUCUUUUUAAGCCAUUGGAGCAAUAUUUAAUGUUCAAAAAACCUCACAGAUCCAACCCAUACAUUACCAAUUAGAUUCCCCCAUCCAUCUCUGUCCAGUGUCCAGCUUGUUCAUUGAGAGAGAGAGAGAGAGGGAAAAGAAAAUUUUAAGAGAUGGGUUUCUGAGAAGUUGCAGGGGAGUAGGGUCUUCAAAUUUUGAAUAUUAUGAAUCCAACCAAGGUAAAUAAUUUCAUUUAUUUUUUAUAAUAUUCUGAAUAAAAUGCUUGAUUUCAUUUAAGUGCAUGAAAAAAGAGAAACCCAUGAUUGUUUUUAACCAGUGACUGAACAAUCAUUGAUUCUUGACAUGGAUUUUCUUCUUCUCUCUUUGUCAAAUCUGCAGCAUAAAAACAAAGUUCUUCUGGCUAGCUCUGAACUGACCCCCCAUAAGAUUGGCCCACACUAUGGCAAGUGACAUACAUCAACAACAGAAGAAAGAUUUCAAGAUUUCUCCUGUUUGGGUUUUUUAUUUUUUUAACUAUUGCAUUCAUCUACUGCCAUCUGAGAAGAAAGCUGUGAAAUUUCUGACCAAAAAAAUGAUGCUUCUGGGGACCUGAGAAAAUGCACAAUGUUCUUCAAAGUACAGUUUAGUGAAAAGGAGCGAUAAUACGAAGGGAAGUGAUUUCCGCACACCCGAGAUGAGAUCUAACGAAGAUUUGAAGUUGGCAAUGGUGGAAGAAAACCCAACACCAAAAUCUGCUGAGUCCCCUCAGAAAUCUCCUCUGGACACCAUGGUUUCCAAUGUCCUCACCAUCAAAACAGCUUCUUCAGCAGCAGCUACAGGUAAGGAAAUUACUGCUCUGUCCUCGCCCUACAGUUCCCCUUCCUUAAUCUCCCCACCCUCCUCAGCAUUUGUUUCGGCUCUCCAGUCGCCUUACAUUUCCCCCAGAGCCUCAACCCCCAAACCCCAGGAAACCCAGCAGACCCAGCAGACCUCAAACCCAGCAACUACCCUGUCCUCACCUUACAGGGGUCCACAGUCAGAUGACAUACCCAGCAGCUCCUACACUCCGCCGUCGGACCUGUACGAGUACUCCGACGACGUCUCCGACCCAUUAAAGCACAAGUUCGACAAUGCCCCUCCCCGCAUUUCCUUUUCCUUUCCGGUCCCUCGGAUUUCGUUUGCCAAAUGCGGCGGGGCAGGCGGCCCUGUUUCCCCUGCUUCCUCCGCCACCAAGCUGCGGAGCUGCGACGUGUACAUCGGAUUCCACGGCCAAAAUCCCAACUUGGUGAGGUUCUGCAAGUGGGUGAAAUCGGAGCUUGAGCUCCAAGGCAUCGCAUGCUUUGUGGCGGACAGAGCCAAGUAUUCGGACUCUCAGAGCCAAGAGAUUGCUGACAGAGUUAUCUGCUCAGUCACCUAUGGAGUUGUGGUGGUUACGAGCUCGAGCUUCUUGAACCAUUUGAGUAUGGAGGAGGUAAGGCUUUUUGCCCAGAAGAAGAAUCUUUUUCCCAUUUUUUUCGACACCAGUCCUGAAGAAGUUUCAGGGAUUUUGAACUACAAUUCGGUUGAGAAAGAGUGCAGGGAGGCGGUUGAUGGGAUAAUGAAGUGUAAUGAGUAUAAGUUGGAGGCCAAUGACGGGAACUGGAGGAGCAUUGUGUCGAAAGCGGCCGGAGUUUUGAGGGGCAAGCUUGGGAGGCAGAGCGUUUCACAGCAGACGGAUGUGGAGGGAGUUGAUGAGCUGCCUUUUUCGAGGAAUAGGUUUUUUGUUGGGAGAGAGAAGGAGAUUGCAGAGAUUGAAACCGCAUUUUUUGGUUCUUCUGGGGACUUAUUGGAGCAGGAAUGCUCGGUGGUUAAAGGCGAAGCGAGUGGCCAAUCGGAAGGGUUAGCUGAUGAGGAGAGUGAAGUUGUUACUACUAGAGGGAGGUACAUUAAUUUGGAGGUGGGAAAAUGCAAGGAGCCUAACUUGGAGGCUUGGAUUGAACCACCAGUUGUGGGGCGGAAUUCGUUCAAGAGGUCGAAGUACAAGAGAGCGAAAAGUGGAAGUUACAAGGGCUUGGGGAGUAGUGUGAUCUGCAUAAAUGGGGUUCCCGGGAUUGGCAAGACGGAGCUUGUGUUGGAAUUCGCUUACAGGUAUUCCCAGAGGUACAAAAUGGUGUUGUGGAUAAGUGGGGAAGCUAGGUAUUUUAGGCAGAACAUAUUGAAUCUGUCUCAGAAUUUGGGGUUGGAUGUGAGUGCUGAUGCUGAGAAGGAUAGAGGAAGGAUUCGAAGCUUUGAGGAGCAGGAAUUCGAAGCGUUUAAGAGGGUGAAGAGGGAGUUGUUUAGGGACAUGCCUUACUUGAUCGUGAUCGAUAAUCUUGAGACUGAGAGGGAGUGGUGGGAAGGGAAGGAUUUACAUGACUUGAUCCCAAGGAACACAGGAGGGUCUCAUGUGAUCAUCACAACUAGGUUGUCGAAAGUAAUGAAUUUUGACGCAAUGCAGCUUCCGCCCUUGCCUGCGUCAGAGGCAAUGAUUUUGAUUAGAGGAAGGAAAAAGAAAGAGUACCCGGCUAGGGAGUUGGAAUUUCUGACGAAGUUCGAUGAGAAGUUAGGAAGGUUGAGUUUUGGUUUGUGGCUGAUUGGAUCGCUGCUUUCGGAACUAGCCAUUGCGCCUUCUGCUCUCUUCGAAGCUAUCAGCCAAGUUCAGCUUGAUGAGGGCUCUCCUUGCCCUUUCAUAAGCAUCACUGAAGAGCAGUACUACAAGAACAACAUUUUCCUAAUGAAAGUCAUAGCUUCUUGCUUCGCCGUCUUGCAACAAUCUAAUGGGAGAAUCAAUCAUCUUGCGUUAAGAAUGCUUCUUGUUGGCGCCUGGUUUGCUCCAACACCGAUUUCCUUGACUCUGCUGACUACUGCAGCUAACAAUAUGCCCGCCACAGAAAGCCGGCUAAGGAAGUGGACUAAUUGCAUAAGUGGCUGCUCUGGUUGCUUUGGACCACAAGCAUGGAAGAGUAGCGAAGAAGAUUCAGCACUGCUUCUUGUUAAAUUGGGAUUAGCGCGAGCGGCAAAAAAACCAUUCGGAUGCUGGAUCCAAUUCCAUCCCAUUACACAAGUAUACACAAAGAGAAAAGAAGGUUUAGUAGCUGCCAAGGCAACAAUUCAAGGCAUAAGAAAAAUUGGCAAUCCAUUGGUGAACCUAGACCAUCUUUGGGCUACUGCAUUCCUUGUUUUUGGUUUCAAAUCCGAACCUCCCCUCGUCCAGCUAAAGGCGAUCGACAUGGUUUUAUACAUCAAGAAAACCGCCCUCCCUCUCGCAAUCAGAGCAUUCACAACCUUCUCCAGAUGCAACUCGGCAUUGGAACUUCUAAAGGUGUGCACUAACGUACUUGAAGAAGUAGAGAAGUCGUUCGUAUCACAAAUCCAAGACUGGUGCCACGGCUCUCUCUGCUGGAAGAACAAGCUGCAAAGCAACCAGAGGGUAGAUGAAUACGUGUGGCAAGACGUGACGCUGUUGAAGGCGACAUUGCUGGAGACGAGGGCAAAGUUGCUGCUUAGAGGUGGGCAUUUCGACAGCGGCGAAGAGCUGUGCAGGACUUGUAUCAGCAUCAGAACAGUGAUGCUAGGGCAUAACCAUGCUCACACAUUGGCAGCUCAAGAAACUUUGGCAAAGUUAGUAAGGAUGAGAAGCAAAAUAUAAAUCUCCGUUGCUUUGGAAACAAGCAAGCCUUUGUUCUAUGAGGAACUCAGUUUUGUUAACACUUGUAAUCAAAUCUUAGUUUAGUUUGUAAUAUCGGCAAUUUAGUAGACCAUAUAAUUUCCGGUUAGAGAAUAAGAGCACUGAAAUUUUGCAUUUAGUUAUCUGUUUUUUUCUCCGGCUUUUUAGCACCGAAAUUUCAUUGAAAUUUCAUUAUGAUACAAGCGAUAUUCUAUUUUAAUGAAUCAAACCACUAGAAGAAAAAACAAAAAAAAUCUAGUGUGCACGUGUCGCUAUGAUAGAAUACAUUUGCAUACAAAAGAAUACAUUUGCUCUAACCAAUGUAACGUUUGGAAGCACUAAAAUCAAAGGGUCCCAUGUUGAUAGAUAAAGCAAUAAAAGGUUUGCCUGGUGUCAAGUGACAUGGUCCAUCCAUAGCAGUAAUCAAUAUUUAUGUGUUUUAUGGUUGGAGGGACAAGGACAUUUCUUCCAUCACUUUAAACAUAUUGCAUACAAAUUUAUCUGAAAUUUAGUACAACUUAAUCAAAGUAAUAUGAGAAAUGCUAAUGAGAUUCUUUUAAAAAUAAGACUUUUCAUGGAUUUUUUGUCACAUUAUAUUUUGAGACAAUGUUUUAUAAUGUUGACAUGAGAAUUGACGUUAAACUGUGAGGUGACAAAAAGUCUAUGAGAAUUUCACUUUGAGAAAGUCUCUUUAGUAUCUAAUAUUUGAGUGUGAGCAAACAAAUUUGGACUUGGUUAGAUCAGUUAGUUAGAGCAGUGUUUCUGCUACUUUUCGUCGGAGUUCGAAUUCUCUCCUCUUAAGUUAGAGUAAAACUAUAAGAAAUUCAUAGCAUUGGAAUGGUGACACAAGUGAAUAUGAAAUCAACGUCUUCAUUCCAUCAAAAAUAGAAUCCACAGAUCAAUGUUAUAAGGGAAAACCCCAUUUUCAAUUACAGUUUUACACACCUAAAUCAAUCCACCACAAUCUAUUAAAAAAAAAAAUUCGUAAAAAAAAAAAAAAAAACGACAAGCAUUUCUUUGUCGUUUGUUUGAAGUCAAACAAAAGUCAAAACAACAAAAUUACACACCAAACCCACAUUAAAAAUAAAUAAUUGAAUUAUUAGACUGAUGAAGAUGUGGGCCCAAUCAAUCCCUGAGAAGCAGCUUCGGUCUCGUUGAGAAACAAGCCUUCUGUGUUCGUAAGCAGCCCGUGCACCGCACACAACAUAAGCCCAACUCCAAGGCCCAAUGCAAUACUCCCAAGCCCACCGCUGGCCCAAGCAACCAAAACAGAAACAACCACCAGGCCCGCCAUCACGGCCCAAUUACUGACGUGGUGGCCCCACACCUCAAGUGGGUCCUCCCUAAAAACAUAGAUCACCAGCCACAACCCCACGACGGCCACCGUCACCAGAAGCCAGCACGGGCUCCCGAUGAGGGAUAGCACCCCGCAGGAUCCGAUCAAUAACAAGUAGUUGACCCGGAAGUGGUUGGCGUUGGUCUGGAUCCUGGUCAGGGCAGAGGAUAAGGAGUCGGGUCGGGAGAUCGAGGAGGCGAAUUCGGACCAUGGACGGCGGCGGGAAACGGCGUCGUUGAGGUUUUUGAUGGAUCGGGUGAUGGCGUCGGAGCCCGAGACCGAAAUGGGUAUGCUGGUAUAGGUUGUUGCUGUGACGGACUGCGACGGCGACAUUUUUUGGAGUGGGGUGGUUUGAAUGUUUGGUUCGUUAACCUACCCUUCAAACCCUUCAACCCUGUGAAGUCUGUGAGGCUGUGACAGUCUCUGAGUUUGAUUGGUUGGUGAGUGGGGCUGUGAGGGACAGACAGGGAAGGGAAGCGUGAAAGGUGAAGAUUUGGGUUCGUUAGUGGAGUUUCUAUACGUUGUUGUGAAAUGGUAAAAAAUGUUUGUGUACAUUGUGACAUUUUACAAUUAUUAUCGUCCGGGUGUAAAGUAUGAGCUCGUCCGAAGGUGUUUUAAACUCGCUUCAAGCGUUACUGAUGAAAAUGUUUUUGUAACUAAUUUUUAAUAAAAUGUAAGUAAAUUUUGAAAAAAAAUAUUAAAUACUUUUUGGAAUAAGCACAUAAUUGAUGUUUUUUGUAAAAAGCACUUCAAGUGCUUUUAGAACCUAAAAAUAUUUUACCUAAAAGCAUUUCAAUCAUUUUAAAAACACUUAAAAACGAGUUGUUUCUCUUUGGUUAAAUAUUAACCAUUUUGAGUUGCUCAAGUGAAAGAGAAAAAAUUGUAUUUCUUCUUUGGAUAAACUCAAUUUUUGGGGGUGGGGGUCGAACUACAAUGAAGUGUUACCAAUUUAAAUAUUGUAAUAAGCGUAAACUCUAAGGUUGGCAUUUCGUAAACCUAUGAUAUAAUAUUAAUAAAAAGAUACGCGUAUUAUAACAUGAGUAAAUUGAUAAUAUUACGUGACAAUAUAACUGUCACACUGAAUAAUUUCUCAAUUAACUGAACUGAAAUGAUCAUUUUAAUCUGCAAGCUAAGACACAAUGAACUUGUAUGUCAAAUGAUCAAGAACAUUUAACUUUACAGUUGUUGUCUAAGUUCGAUUUCUCCCUUCCCACUAUCACUCCAAAGAAAAUCUACAAGCUAAAACUAUAACUCAAAUUCAAACAAGAUUAAACUUAGCAUAAGUGAAUAUAAAUCAUUUCAAUAUGUACAAUAUUAAUUACUAACGUAAACUGGAAGUUAUGCUAAAGCAGAUUUUAGUUGAAUUUGGACGCGUUUAACUCUUGACCAUGCAGAGAGUUUAAUCUAAACUUGCUAGGCUUGCCAAUUUGUCAAUGAGUUCAGACUCAACUCGUGAUCCCUCUCGAAGGUGUCAAUACCAGUUCAAAUUUAAGAUUCUAUCUAUUUUUGGAGUUUGGAUCGUUUUCGGAUUUUCAUAUCCAGAAUUUAAGAAUCAUAAAAUUUGAACUUUUGGUUUGUACGUAAGAGAGAUCGAAAUCCUUAAUUUGUGUGAGUAUGGUUAACGGAAUGAGAUAAUGGAAUCGUCGGAUUUAAUUUGAGUUGUCCCUUUCCAACUUAGUGUUUAAAUUAAUUCAUUAUCAUCAUUGUGCUUUGACUUUUGUGCUUGUUCUUCAUACGUACACAGAAAUUCCACUUCCGCUAAGACGUGCAAAGCCAACCUUUUCAACCCAAACUCAAUGCCUUGUAACAGUAUGUGUGUGGGGGAAUGUCUUUUAUAACGAAACAAUUAAUUAAAGAAAAACUAAUGAAAAAUGAUUGAAAAUUUUGAGUUUUAACGAAAAUGACAAAAUAAAAAGUAAAAUGAAUAGUACCAUGAUUGAUUUUUUAAUGUAAAAAUGUGAUUUUUCGUUACAGUGAACAAUAUUGAAAGCUUUUCGUUAAAGUUCCCUUAAUUAAAAGCUCAACUUAUAGUUUAAUUGGCUAUGCAUAACCAAUCUAAGAGUAUUUUGUGAUUGGUUAUGGAAUAGAUGUUUUUAUUUUUUACAGAAAAAUUUAGAAAUUAUUUUCUGGGUAAUGAAACUAUUUUUUGAAAAAACACUCGUUGGAUGCUUUUUCAAGAAGUACUUUUAAAUCCUCUAUUGGACUUUGCUGUCCAGAAUUUAGGAAUCAGAAAAUCUAAACUUUUGAUUUGUGCAUAAGAGAAAUCGAAAUCCUUAAUUGUGUGAGUAUGGCUAACAGAAUAAGAUAGUGGAAUCGUUUGAUUUAAUUUGAGUUGUCGCUUUGCAACUUAGUGUUCAAAUUAAUUAAUUAUCAUCAUUGUGCUUUGACUUUUGUGCUUGUUCAUACGUACACAGAAAUUCCACUUCCACUGAGACGUGCAAAGCCGACUUUUUCAACCCGAACUCAAUGCAUUGUAACAGUAUGUGUGUUGGGGAAUGUCCUUUAUAACGAAACAAUUAAUUAAAAGAAAAAUUAAUGAAAAGGGUUUGAAAACUUUAAGUUUUAAUGAUAAGGACAAGAUAAAGGGUAAAGUGAAUAGUAUCAGGAUUGACUUUUUAGUGUAAAAAUGUGGUUUUUCGUUAAAGUGAACAGUACCGGGUGCUUUUCGUUAAAGUUCCCUUAAUUAAAAGCUGUAGUUAUGCAUAACUAAUCAAGAUUAUGUUUGUGAUUGGUUAUCGAAUAGAUAUUUUUUAUUUUUUUACAGAAAAAUUUAGAAAUUAUUUUCUGGGUAAUGAAACUUUUUUUUGAAAAAAAUACUCGUGGGUUGCUUUGAAGAAGUACUUGUAAAUCCUCUACACACAAUACUUAUAGUUUUAAUAAAAACUACAAUAAUAUAAUUAUAAUGAAAUUACUUCUAGUAAAAGUGUUUGAGUAUAAAUCUUAAUUCGUACAAAAAUAAUCUUUGUACGGACACAAAAAUGAGGUACAUUAAAGAAGUUGGUCAUGCGAUCUCUUCGUAAAUAAAGUUAUCCCGAACAACCAAUCAUGUUUGUCUUAAAUCUUCAAUGCAUAGGAAAAAAAAACGAGUUUGUUUUCUCUUUUAGGCAAACGACCAACUUUUUCUUCAAGUAUAAUUUUAAAACAUCUGCAUACAUGCAAUCACCCACAAACUAGACGUAUUAGAAUUAAUUUUGAACCCACAUGACCAACUUCUUCCUAAAGUAUAAAAUGUUAAAAAGAAAACUCCCUAAAAUAAAACUUUGGAUACAUGGAUUCACUUACAAACUACUGGAAUCGAAUUUUAAAAAGAAAAACUCUCAUUUCCAACUUACUUGUUUCCAACUUGUUUGUAAAGUUUGAAACUUUAAAUACAUGGUUACAUACAGAUCAUUUAAAACUUCGAAAUUUUAAGAACUGUUUGACAAAAUGUUAAAUGAACAAGCCUUUACAAACUAAAUAUUUGAAUCAAGUUUUGAAUUAUGAACAGGAUUAAGCAAAGAUGGGAGGAUCAUAAUAAUGUUAUUACUAUUAUAAUAUGAAAGAGAGAUUAUCCAACUCGUUACUCAAGUAUUUCCCUCCUUUCUCCCCCUGUCUCUCUCUCUCUCUCUCUCACACUAAGUCUUAAAGAGUACUCAAUACCUCUCUCUCUCUCUCUCUCUGUCUCUCUCUCUCUAAGAUUUUCAACGUUCAAGUAAUGCUCCUUUUGAGAAGGCUUAAUAAGUAUAAAGUGACAAGAAGAAAGAUGAAGAAUGGCCCACAACCGACAAUUCAAACAAGCAGAGCCAUUGUCUUUGUAUAGAGUGUGUAAUGGGGAGUUGUCCAGCUUUCACCAUGCAAAAUUCACACACCCCACGUUCCAUCCCUUUGCCUUCCUUAAAAUAAUAGUUUUAGCUUACCUUACUUGACACGAGUACACAAUAAUCAUGAUAUUUUAUAUUUAUAAUAUAAUGAUAUGUGAAAAUCUGUUUUCAAAGGACGUUGUUGGAUUAUUAAUAUAUAACAUCACGAUAACAUCAUACUCAUAUAAGUUGCUCUUGUCGUCUAUUUACGUCAGCACCUUAGUAAGCAUCUAUAUGGUAUAAUGCGAAUCCAACGGCCAUUUAUUUUGUGUUUCAUCUUGUCGUUUAUAUGUACCUUCAAAUUGACCAUGCAAUGCACCUCUCUCUCUCUCUCUCUCUCUCUCUCUCUCUAACGGCUACAUUUCGUGGUAAGCCAAACUUCCAUGCAUGCUCAUGAAUUCCUGAACAAGCAAAGGUAAUACAGUACCAUAUAUAAUUAUGCCGCGUACCAUGCAAAAUGAAGCUAUAGCUAGAGGAUAAGAGAAAACAAAAAACGAAAAAUAAGUAGUGACUGAAAACCUACGUAGAAUUAACCUAAUUUUAUUGAAUAUAUGGGGUUUCAUCCGUCACUAUUUCCUGUGCAUUUCACUUGUGUACUCCUCGGACCCCACUACAAAUACAUAUAUAUAAUGUAAAUUUGAUUGGUUAGAAAAUACCUUGUCUUAGCAAAAUCUAAUGGUGGAGCCUCUCAUUUAUCUAUAAACGAAACACAUACAAUAUUAACAUUAACCCAAAGACGAAGAAGAGCAUAUAUAUAUAAUCAAGUGUAAGAAGGAUGAUCAAUUUUGAUUGCGGUACAUGUCUGCAUGUUAGUUUUUCAUCGUGAAAUUUUGAACCGUUCAUUGCAUAGUUAUUUUGUGAUCAAAGGUAAUUUCUUAAACUUUCACCUCGACCACCAUUUCAUUUGCAACCAUGCAUUCAGAAGCUCUCAUGUUCAUGGAAAGAUUAAUUAGCAUUACCAUAACUUCUAAUAAGCAUCAACAUUUUUUUGUCCAGCCAGAAAAAAAUGAGAGGGAUGUUCAAUUCCAGUUUUAUUUAUAACUUAGGUGUAUGUUUGUAUACAUUUUCUUGAAAACAAUGAUGAAUCAACGUAAACAAUAAAGAACCUCUUGCCCUCCAAGCAAUUGAGUUUGAUCUAUGUCUGAAGUUCUGCAGUAUUCGAAUGCGUGCUAAUUUACGGAUGUGCAGAUGAAUCGGGAUGAACCAGAAAUAAUCGAUUUUCAAGACUAGAACAUGGUGCUGUGCUUCACAUUUGAUCAAGGAGAGGCCGAACACACAAGGAAAUUAAGUACCUCUAACAAAAUUCUAUAAGAAAGAAGAAAAAAAGGGACAUAAACGCCUUACUUAUACUGAUGCUCGAAAAUAUUCACUUUCGAGCCAAGCUUUUAUGUCAACUGUAUAUUAUUCAUGGAUUUUCCUUAAAAACACUGUCUAUUCUCUGGAUAGCUUAAAGCAUGCCUAAGCAGAAACCUGAAAAAAAAUUGCAUGAUUUCGAACCAACGUUUGGUAGAGUAACAGCAUGUGGACUGCACGCCAUUUCUCCUCAUUCAAACGCGACAUGUUUUUCUAUGACAAGCUCGGUGAAUCGUACAGUGUAGAUCUCAGAUGUCCUCUUGGCGAUGGUGCUGCAAGAAAAGAAGCCCGGUGCUGCACACCCGAGCCUUCUGAAGUAGUACAACUCCACUUAACAGGACUACUAUUAUUGGCUAGCCUGGAGGGAACUGCAUGCAAGGUGGUGUUGUACAAAACGGGUGAUCCACAAAGUAAAGAAGGUUCCUGUGACUCAUAACGAGAGAAAGGAUUAUUCACACGCUUUGAGUUAUAACUGGGAGCUGCUGGAACUGGACUGACGGAACAAACUACUUGGCUUUCCCUCAACCCUUCAGAGUACUUUGCAACACUGCAGGUCAAAUCAGCUUCACUUUCCGGAACAUCAUCAAUGAUGAUAAUUUCUUUACUGGCACUGAAAGCAGAAUGUCCAUUCUUGCGUUGGCGGUCAGGAGGGUUCAUAAUUCUCUCCAUAUGAAACGCGGGUGCUCCUCCAAUGGGUUUGCUUAUAUACCUGUUCUGUGGCAUUGGAAAAUUAUGAUCGCCGUUAUACUCAUGAGGUUCCAUGGAUGCCACAAAACUGCCAUCUGUAUGAUGCUUUGGAAACAAGCUUGCAGGUCCUCGUGCAACCACUUGUGGUGUCCUCGGAUUGCUAUAGCUUCUAAAACUGUUGAAGUGCGCUGCACUUGCGUCAAAACAUUCCCCCACUUUGUUAUGUUGAAAGGAAUGAUAGAACUGAUUCUGAAGAUUGCCAGGAACAACUCCUGAGAAGGUUGGAAACUGUGAAGUUAGAUGGUUAGUUUGCGCAAGUGGUUGAGCCUGCACCGGUGGAACUGAUGUAUCUUCCUCUUUGUUGACCACCAUCAAAUUCUUUCCCAUUAGCCUGAGUAUCGAAUUAGAAGCAGAUGGACUAAAAGAAUCACUUUCACUGUGACCUGACAACUUCCCUUUGCCAUCUGGAGAACCCUUCGAAGGAUGGUGACUGGAUGAUGACUUGGUGACAGGAAAAACUGCCUGUUCAGAUCUCAAUGUUGUACCACCACUCAGAAAGAACGAGUCUGUCAUGUCAGACCCCGACUCCAAAUUGUUAGUUCUUGUGUUUGGAUUGCCACCCAUUUGCUUUCCCAUGGCAGGCAGUGCCAUUGCUCGCCGCAUUAAUAGUGGUGAUUCUUGAUAAUUUAAAGCCAAACCCUGAGAAGUUCUCUCCUUUCGUUGACAACAGCAUGGCUGAUCGUUACUUUUGAAGCUGAUAGGUCCCCUCUCGAGAGAUAUCUUGGUGACCUUAAAGUUUUCUCUAUCAAAAGAAAGUCUUUCAGCUGCUGUACCAGUUAUAUGUUGGGCUGCAGUGGCAUUAAUUUCUUCAGAAGUACCACUAACUGCACGUGAUAGGCCCGGCCUGAUCUUGUCCUGAGCAGAUUGAGGUCCUAUGGAAGAUGACGGUUCAGAAUGCUUCAGGUCAAACUUUGUCCCUCUGGAAUUAGAGAUGGUUGAUGUUGUAGAAACUGGUGAAUCUGAUGAAUCCCCAUCAAUAAAAUCAAGCUGAUCUUGAGAUGAUUGAACUCGGCUCGUGGUUAGUGACGAAUUCCCUUGAAAAUCAUCCGACCCGAUAUCCCUAGGGCUUGGCAAAAACGAUCCUGGUGGCCCUGGGAUAAGUAUUGGAUCAACCUCAGGAAAAUAGCUUCCUUGGCCAUCAUCAGAGUCCAUUUCCUCCAUGCUAUGAACAUUCUGCCCUAGUGUGCCAUCUUCCAGUCCAUCACCACAAAACAUCUCUUGCUCAUUACUAAUGCUUGGAUCAGUUGGACUUGUUACUGCUUCGGUUUCACAGAAACCUAUUAGGGCAGGAUUUUCACUAACCAUGUCACCAUCAUGGAUUUGAUCUUCCCUCUCAGAACCUCCCAGGCCAUCAACUUUUUCCAGAUAUUCAUCACGAACGGUAACAGAAGUAUCCAUCUUUUCCCUCUCAUCAUGUCCAUAAAACUCAGGUGCAAAUUGAGAACCUUCCAAGGCCAUGGGUUCAUCCCUUCUAGAGCUACUUAAGGAACCUCUACAUUUUCUCCUCUGCAACACAGUGCUUCUGGAUACUGAUACUUCAUCGCUACAAUCUUUUCGAAACCGCUUUCCAGCAAAAUUAUGCAUGAAAUCAUACUGUUGAUCAGCCUCAGAAUCCCAGGCAGCAACCUCUUUAUCUAUUUCUUCCCUUUGCCCUUGAUUCUUAGCAGCUGAGCAAUUCAUAGCGACACUGGGACUGGAUUCAGUCAAAGAUACCCGCCUGCCAAUAGCCAACACAUUUUUCUUUGGCGGGAGGGAUUUCCUGGCAUUUGAUCUGGGGGCAUCACGACUCUUAGAUAGUUUUUUGCUAGCGCGAGGGGCACAAUCAAAAUUUUCGGUGAAAUCCGCAGCAGAACCAAUUGUAUUGUUGCUCAACACAGGUGCAAAGUUCACAUCAGAGUAUGUACGGUUUAGCGUGCAACUAUUAGGCGAAAAAGUUGUGUCUUUGCUAAACUGAUGCUGGCUUUGCUCACCAGGAAAGGGGCUUCCUGCUCUCUUUCUCCAAGGAGAGCAGUCACUUUUCUCACUAGCUUGAGCUUCAUCACAUGCAUUCUCUGUGCUCCCACUUUUUUCAGGAGAAGAAAUUGGAUUUCCAGACAAAUUCAUUACCUUUCUACCACAGUUUCCCUCCACACGACAGUUAUCUAAAUAUGUUUGAUCACUCUCAACCAAAAAGUCCUGAGACACAUGCUUCUUGUUCAACUUCUUUACAACACCAGUGCGUUUGGAGCAAGCCCAUCCUCUUAAAGCUCCAGCAUUACAGGAAUUGAGCUGCUCUUCCAUUUGCUGUCCUUCCUCGGAAUUUUCUUUCGCUUCACAUGUUUCUUGACCCCCAUGAAUCUGUUUAAAAACAAUUCCACCGCAUGUUAAUUUUGAAAAACCACCACAUUUGCAACAUAGCGGAUUAUUAACCUUUCAAUUCAAUGGAAAAAGCAGUGUUAGCACCAACGAAAGCAUUGGGAUUCAAGCAUAUUGAGAGCUUCUUUAUUCGUUUUCCUUCUGUUGCAUCGGAAGCGCAUGUUGUUUAUAAGGUGGUGAGACCUAUGCAGAAAGUAAGUAAAUACAGAAAGCAAGAGUGGCGUACCUGAGAAGAAUGAGCCUUAGGAGAGAGAAGAUCUUUGCUUUGAGGAGCAAGUUUAAGGUACUUCUGAUGUUUAGAUGGAUGGCGCUUUUGCUUUUUCGCUGAAAGGAAUUUGCUUCCUUUGCCGGGUUUCAAAGGUUUUCUUGGUCGAAGAUGCUCUACCUCUUUAGGCACUGAUGGAGAUGGUGCAUCAUCAAACUUCGAUAAAAUCCUAACUUUCGUGCCAUUGGCGUCUACAUAGACUGGACCGACAUCAAUAUCAUCAGGAUGGACUGAGGAUACUCUUCGCCUUUUCUCUUCAACCGGCACCUCAGACUUCUUAUCCCGAGUAGGAAAGCUUGAAACGCUCGUGGCCCAGCUCGAGCCAUUUCUUCUAUCGAGAUCUUCUAAUGUGCAAUGCUGGGCAGUAGUAUAUAUAUCCACCAUCAAUUUGGUCUUCCUCGGCUUAAUUCUGUACCUUGUAACCGGUUUUGAAUCCACAGCCCACUUGGGAGUUGCCUCCCCAGAAAGGCACUGAUCAAUAUGAGCAUUCAAGGUGGUAUUAGAAGAUGAUGAGAAGGUUUUGCAAACAGGGCAAGUUUUUGAAGUCAUUGUUUCUGAAAUGGUAGUAGCAUUCGACGCAAUAUCUUCGGUUGAUCCUCUCUCUGAGUGGCUACCGAAUUUCACCACCAAUCUGCACUUCUUACCCGAGGGUCGCGUCGUGUUUCCGGUCUUGUUAACAACAACAACGGGGGGACCUGCAGCUUCAAGUACUUCAACUGAUGCAGCUUCCAAGGAAGUAUCAAUUUCUAACGGCAACCUCGACGGCCUGUUCGUAGGAACUGACUCUUCUAUUUCAGAUUGAGAAACACUCGUAAGUGUGGAUGGAAAAUCAUUUUCUCCUUCAGACCUGCAUGAAGUGGUUGUUGUAGUCUCUGUGCAAGCUUCUGUUAGCUUUUCCUUCAACUUGGUAUCGUUUGACGAAGACUUUAAUACUGCAUGAUCAUCUUGCCCGGAAGAUUCUGAAACAUCAAGAUUGCUUUUCUUUUCACUUUCAACCGUACAUCUCUUGACGGGUUGGUUUCUAACUGCAUCAAGCUUCUGAAAUGGCGGCAACAGAUCGUUCACGCCAUGUUUCAAGCAAAGUUGCAAAUUCUUCUGAGAAAAAGGCCAGUUGGUCUCGAUAUCUUUGCUCCGGGAUGUAAAAACAUAAUCUCUGCGCAACGUAAAAACAUCAUAUACGUCUGAUUCUUCACACAAAUGGUCAAUUCCAAUGAGCUAAGCUUAGCCACCUUUAGACUAGGUCCAAAGAGAACUCAAACUUUAUUGUAUGAAAAUUGCUAAUCAAAGAAGGGAAUAUAUACAUGGACCAUGGAACUAAAAAGGAAAAAGAAAAUACACAAACAGUAGAGUAAUAUCCAUGUGAUGUCUGCAGAAAUGGUCUUAGGGAUUCAUUAAAACUCGGGCGUCACCAUUUCAUGUAAGUCUCUCUCUUCUAAAUAACACCGUCUGAGAGACUAAUUAAAACUCAUGGGAAAUUAAGGUAGGGUGACAUGAAAUCACAAGCAACAAUUAACAUUGAGUUGGGUGGAUUAUCAGCAUGGAUUAGGGAAAUUAAUCACAUGAAGAAACGUGUGGUUUUCAGGGGGAUUAAGAGCCGUGAACGACUUUCUUUUUUUUGGGUGACAAGCCGUGAACGAGUUUCGUUUAUUAGCCAAAGCAGGGAAAAAAAAGCCCCAACACACUAAAAAUAGAGACAAAGAUGGGGUGGUCAUGACUCAAGGCCCCCCAUAUGUUGGAUGAGCCACAAGCAACAACAACACGCAUAUUUGCAUCUCUCUCUGGAUCUGACUCGACAAGCUCUAAGAUGAUAUGAGAUAAGCUUUGAGAUCACACAAGAAAAGAGAGAAGCGGUUAGAACCCCAUGUAAGAAAAACAAAAACCCAAGUUAGGAUCAUCAUUAACUGUUCAUAUUUUCAUUUCUACAGAGAGAGAGAGAGAGAGAGAGAGAGAUUAUACCUGAUGGAGAAUUUAGGAAGGGGUGGAUUAUUAGAUAGAUCUAGUGGCUGCUCAUGACUAGUACUAGCAUCUUUGAUGAUCAAAGGCUGGGGAUGAUGACAUGGGGGAUCUGGUGGAAGUUUUUCAAAAGAUAACAUCUGAUGGAAAGCUGCUUCUUCUUCUCUCUUCUACUUGUGCUGUUUUCCCAACAGUCACAAGCUCUAGUAAUAUCUUCUCUACCUCCACACCUUAUCUUGAACUUAGAUUUCAGCAUAUAUAAUGACCCUUUCUCUCUCUAAGUCUCUUUCUCGCUCUAGAACUAUUACUGUUCACUCCAAGCAGCACCAGAAACACUAGCAGAAAGCAGCAGAGAUGAAAAAUCAAACAACCCCACUGGAAUCUUCAUCCAUAACAUCAAUCUGCAAUUGAGAGAAAUGAAAAGGAGCAUGAGAUCAUGGGGUUUUGGGGAAAGAUCCCAGACUUUGAACAAGGUGGAAGAUUAUUAUUAGUAAUACUCCAGACCCUUCCAGAAACGUUAUUUUAUGUGAUGGGAAUGAGUGAAAUUAAAGCAUUUGAAAUAUUUUUUUCAAAAGAAAAAUCAAAACAAGAAGGAACCCAAUUGAGCAAGCAAAGAACAAAAUAGGCAAAUAACAAAACUCAACAAGCAAAGAUAUUCAAUUUUGUUGGAGUCUAAAAGUUCUUGGGAGUGAUAUUUUAUGUGGAAAUAUUUCUCAAAUUUUGAGACUUUAGAAUCAACAAUCCACUUGCUAUCAUAGUUGAACAACCAAUCCAAUCUCCUUAGAGCAAAAUCACAAAAGAUUUGAAGUUUGCAAAAGCAAGAGAUCAUGAUUCAUGAGCUCCCCAAAAGAAGAAUUUUUUUAGACAAGAAAUUAAUCCCACAAAACCCCAACAAGUAGAGUGAGUAAGAGAAGGAGGUUUACAAAAAAGUCCAAAUCUUUGAGCAUGCCAAACAAAAUCUAGUUUAAAUCCCAACACAUCUGAGAAAACAAAAUCUAGUUUAAAUCCCACAACCAGAUUCUGAUCUUGUUUCCAUUUGUGCAAGCAAGAACAUACUGAGUGGUCAAAGAAAACACGAAAAAAAGAUGCAGUUUUUGAGGAAGAGAAAACAAACCCAAGAUCAAAGAAAUCGCAGCGCUGAUGGGAUUAUUUGGUUUUGAAGCCUCUUUUUUCUGGGUUGGUUCCGACUGAGAAAUGAGAAAGAAAAGAUGAAGUCUUUGAAGACUACUAUGCAACUCUAGAGGGAGAAAGAGGAAGAGAGAGAGAGAGAGAAGUGAGAAAAACAGGACCACCCACUCACACAUCAAAAAGGGCAUCAGGUUCUCUUUCUCUCCAUAAAGCGGGUUUGUACCAUAUUAAACACCCCCGAUUCACCUCCCAUCUGUGAAUAUGCGUUAAAGAGAGUUUUGAAGAGAGAGAAAGAGAUACAGAUAGAGAGAGAAAGAGAAAGUAGGAGAGAGAGAGAGGAAGUGUGUGGUGGUUUUUCGUCUUGUAAAAUAAACAAAGGAAAUACAAUACAAAGCUGUCCUAUCCUGUACCUACCCUACACCCUCAUAUGUCAUAUUUUAUCAACUUUUCUUUUCUUCUCAAUUUUGUAAUCCUUGAUUUUUAUCGUGGUCAUUGCCCCUCUCAAUUGUCUGUUUUGCUCUCUUUCUUUCUCUUUAAUUUCAAUCUCACACGGCCCAUGUUGUCCCACUACACGACAAUCUCACCCUGUUGACAAUUAUAGACACCAUGGAAAUAUCACACUUUUACCCCCCCCCCCCCAUCCCCCAUCCCCCCAUCCCACCCCCACACUUCACUCUCCUGUAUGUAGAGAAAUUUUUUAUUCGGACAGAAAUACGAAUGGUACAUUACGUGUUUUUAUAUAACUGACGAUUUAAGUUAUUAAUUUUUUAACACAUAUAUCCCAUCAUUUGUAUAAUGACAUGUGAUGUACCACCUCAUGUGACGGUCACGCUGAAAAAUCUUUUUUUUUUUAAUGUUAGUAUACAAAAGUAAGAGGAGUUUUUUUUCAUAUUGCUAUUAUUUUUCAAAUAGAGCAGAUUAUCUGCCUUCUAAUUUCCUGUGUCCUUCUGUGUCCUUUUGUUUUGUGUGAUCAUGGUUAAGUCAUGUCAAUAUUUUAUAUUAUUUUUUAAUAAAGAUAAUAAGAUAAAAAAAUAGUAAUAUAAAAUGUUGAUGUGACUUAACUCUGAUCACACAAACAGACAUAAGAGAAGUGGGAGAGCCGAGAAUGUGACUCAUUUUCAAAUAGUUUGAUAUGUUAUGUUAUAUAUUAUUUUAUCGGCCAAUGUAAUUGUUAACUAGUUUAAUGGAUUUGUGUCAUUCGUUAGGCAUGUAUCUCGUUGAAUACAGUUUGAUAUGUUAUCUUAUCAACCAAUUUAGCUUUUAAGAUGAACUAAGAGCAACGACAGUUUAAUAUGUUAUCUUAUCAACCAAUCUAGCCUUUAAGAUGAACUAAGAGUCUUAAAAGAAGAUGUAGGCAUAGAGGUGAGAAUCUUGGAGAUUCUCUAAUCACAUUCGUUCAUUGUAUAUCGUGCGAUCAAAUAUCAAUGUAAAUCUUUUUAUUUAAAAUUAAAUAUAAACAGGACAUGACGAAAACUGACCGUAAGAUAUACAAUAAACGGAUGUGGUUGAAGAUCUUGAGAUCUUCACAAAGAGGAUCCGGAGAGGAUCCUCAUUCGGCAUAAUGUCCUUUGUCUUGAGGUAAUACUUAUGUGAAAUGUUUGCCUACUCCUUGUGUUGUCAGUCGUAGAUGUCUAUUUAGUCUUUCAGGUUUGGUAAUACGUAUGUGAAUUGUUUGCCUAUUUCUUGUGUUGUCAGUCGUAGAUGUCUAUUCAGUCUUUCAAGUUUGGAUAAUGCUAUAGAGACUAAAUUUGGAGACAAAGUUUUGAAAACUAAAGGACAUGGAAUUGAUGAUUGAUUGAUUACUUAAACGUUAAUAAACGUGCUUAUUCCUAUUUGUGACACAUUGUUUAGUUUACAAAUUUAGUCUCCCUAACAUUACGCUUUGGGUUGUGUUAUUUAAGUUGUUCAACUUAUGCUACAAGCCUAAUGGAUUUAAUAUCAAUGGACCAAGAAACCAAAAAUUUGUUUUACCCAAGUCGACAUAUUCUUAACCUAGACAUUUGACAUCCCUGCAUUAACUGACUUAAUCACCUCUGUCGUUGUCUUAAAGGAUACUCUUGUUGGUGGGCGAUAUGUUAAAGAGUUCUAAUUAGCGAAGCAGGUGAGCGAUUAGAAGCUUUUUAUGAAUCAAUUGUGAAUUUAAACCCCUUUAAGUUUUCCCAUUUAUCGUGAACCAUUAUCUAUAAUCUUUAGGGUUUAUAUUAGGGUGUAAAUGAGACCUAGCAAUAUAUCACAAUUACGUAAACUAAGUAUUAUCAAAGAUGCAUCCUUUUGAACGACACUUAGAGAUGUAUCCUUUUGAACCUGACUAUAGUAUCAAAGAUCAACAACAUAUUAAUAAGACAACGAUGAUAUCUCAAAUUUAAAGAUCAAUUUACAUUAUUGCAACUUAGAGAUCUUAUUUAUCAUUCCAUAUGCCAUAUCUAAAUUGAUAAUGUUUAGUGUACUCAAUCUUCAUUGACCACUUACACAAUUCAUCUUAGUGUCCCCAAAACAAAUAACAUGAGACCAGUUAUCCUCCUAAUUAAGCAUAGCGUGUAUUUGUUCUUUAAGAAAUCAUAUGACUAGCACAGUUUAAGUUCUAAGCUCAACGAAGGAAAUGUAUCCAUAAUCGAACUUCUUUAGAUUAUUUUCUUUCUAUUUCUUAUUCUUUGGACUUGUUUAAGGAAAUCACUAUGAGUAGUAUUGUUAUUGUAAGCAACAUAUUUGCCCCUUGAUAUGAUUCAGAUAAGUAAGUAUAUGAAAUAUUCAUAAAAAAAUCAUCACACGACUGAUUUGUAUGACAUAUUUAUAAAAAAAAUAAAAUAAACACUAUCAACGAGUCUAAAAUAUCAAUUAGUUCAAUGCAUUUUCAUUAUUCGCCAGUUAUUACUCGCGGUUUUAUAUGCACCUUAUCAAAACAAUCUAAUCUCAAUAUGUUCCAUUAUUAUUUACGUUUCUGAAGUCAUUCGCUAGUUACUAUUUGGUUGCAUAGGAAGAUUUCAAACCCUAAAUCAAGCAUGCUCGAUCACACUCGUCACCCUACACCCACCCUCACUAGUGGGUAACCCCUUGUAGCUUCAAAUCAACAUUAAACUACCAGAUAAUCUAUCAAUGUCAAAAUUAAGCGUGCAUUUAAUAAGAUCUUAUAUUAUCCACAAAAUCAAGCCCAUCAUAUUUGAAUCUAUAGUCCUCAUGUAUAAUCCAAAAAUAUAACAUUCCAAUCUAGAUAGUCCUAAUGCAUCAACGUGCUUAUUACCUUAUAAUAUUGUAACUUGUUACUUAUCUUUUUGGUUGGAUUCUUGUUAUCAUUAGAAAAAUAUAGGGCAAUAUACCAUAUAAGCCUGCGGGGUUCCCUGCUCUUGUUCUGCUUUGGUGUGGUCUACUCAUUGAAUACGAACAUCUUUGACCCAAAAAAAAAAAAAGAAUACGAACAUGCUCAUAGUCUAUUUUAACAUCUUCUUUUGCGCAAUUAUUUUAACAUUAUUUUUUUAUCGCUUAUGUAUUAUAUGUUUACACAAUUAUUGUCCUUUUUUCACCACACGUAUUCUCCUGUCCCUAUGGUUGUCAACUUUAAAACUUACAAAGCAUAAGUAUGCUGAGUAACUACUGAGCUAAUUAUGUCUUUCUUAUGAAUACAGGCGUGCCAACUCGCAAUCAAACUCGGUUGGGCAAAUAGAAUAAAUGUGGUGGUGUGGUGUCGAACGAGUUGCUGACUUCUACACCUAAGCGACUAUGGUCGAGGAAGGAAUGUCUGUCGGCCUAGGGUUCUUGAACCUAAAAACAAGGUCACUUAAUUCACUGCAAAGUUCAUCUUCUGCAUCAAGUUUGGCAGCUUCAACUAUAUUUGUGAGAAUAUAAGUGUGCCAAAUCGAUAUCAGGUUGUAGGUACAAAGAUACUCAAAGGAAAUGGGUGCCUUUAUGGUGCAUGUUGUUUGUCCGUCUGAAUGUCAAACUCUGAAGUGCAUAUGAGAUUAACCAAUCAUAGAACACCUCAAUUCAUUGGGGAGCUAAUGAAGUGACCUCAUUUAGCGUAAGAAUUGUAAACUCAUUGUUGGCUAAGUCUUGGAUAGAUAACCAAUCAACUAGAAGCAAUCAUGUUUAUCCAAAUUGAAGAUGCUCCUAAAUUGCAGGUGUGUUGAUGAAAUGGUUAGGAUAAUUAAUACUUCUUUCAUCUAAUAGCUUAAAAGUAUAUGGACUGAGUGUAUGCAAAUGGGUCCAAACAGUAAGAAAAGAAAAGAAAAAAAUUAACACUAUGCAUUAUGUAAAAAUUAUUGUGUACAAUCACUAACGGUUAAUCGUAAGUUAAAUCUAAUGCACACUUUAACAGAAUUAUAUGAGCAUCUGCAAUGGAGAUGGUUUAAAAAAAAAAUCAAAUGUAAAUUUGAUUUUCAAAUUUGAUUUUCUUUUCCAACUCAUAUGUUUUUUUUUCUUAUUCAAUUAAUAUUUGUAGGACCCACUCUUCAAAACAAAUAAAUAAAAACUAAUUUUCAUGUUUUAUAAUUGGUGCAUUACUAGAACCCACACAAGAAAACAUUUCAAAAAUAAUUGGCAUCAGAUUUUAUCCAAUGUCAAAUUUGGCAUCACAUAAUAGGUAUGUCAAUCUACGUAGAAUUGACAUAUCGAUUAGAACUUAUAUCUACCUUCAAAUUUAUUACAUGACAUUCUAAUUAAAAUUUGACAUUUUCUUUUAAAAUAGUUUAAUAUUUUAUAUGAAAAUAAAGAGAAAAAUCGGAAAAGGAUAUUUGGAAUCUCGUAAUUAUGUUCAUUCAUCGUACAUCGUACGGUAAAAAAUCAUUUAAAUUUUAAAAUUUAAAAUUCAAAUAUAAAUGACAUCUAAUGAAAACUGACCGUAUCAUGUACAAUGAAUAAACACGAUUACAAAAUCCUAAAAAAAGAAUAUGGAGAUGAUCAUUUUCCAGAAAAAUCUGCGCUAGUUACGUUUUUGGAUGUGAAUGACCUCGAAAUUCUUCCACCACUUGAAAAGUGAUCAAUUUCUUUAUCUCUUCCCAAAAAACAAAAAGGUUAGAAAAUAAAUUAACUACUAGUCCAGUUUAAGAAUUUUCUCAAAACUGACGAGAGAAUCUUUUUUCAAUACGUACAAUAUUAUUUACAAUAGAAAUAGACAGUGGACUAAGUUUUAUAAUAAGUUAGUGAUAAUAAUUUUAUUUGAAGUUAUCCACGAUGAUAAUUGAAUCUAAGAUAUUUGUCUUACAAUAAGGGAAAUAUAUAUAUAUAUAUAUAUAACACGACCCUAAUAAUAAGUAUCAAGAAAAGGAUUAACUCAAGGAAAAAGUUAGAGAGACUAUUUUUUGGACCAUAUUUUGCAUACCGCAUAAUGUGACUGUUGAUGGUUAAACUUCUUUUUAGUGAUAUAAAAAAAGAAUUCAACCAACACUCAUCACAUCAUACUGUUUACAAAAUAUAGUCUAAAAAGAUUGUCCUUCUAGCAUCACUCUUAACCCAACUAUACAUAUGCGCCAGUGUAUAAAUAAUUGAUGUUGCUGAUAUUUUACAGACUUAGGUUUUGUUACUUAUUAAUAAACGUGUUACAGGAGGGAACUGGUACCGACCUCAAACAUGAUCAACUGCUAAAUUUGUGAAAUAAUGGUUUUUGAGCUUUCUUUUCUCAUCUUAUUAUCAACCAAUGUUCUUCUAUCUUCUCAAACUCUCAUCCCACAAUUCCAACGCUCUUUUAUUAUUACUUGAAAAGCAAUAUUUUUUUUUUUGAAACAGAAAAAGCAAUAAAUUAUUAAUCUCAAGGAACAACUGUGUGCUCUUUUUUGUGCUCCUAUUGGCUUAAGGAUUCGACAUUUUGAACGUUUUCUUUUAACUCUUUCAUCCCCAAAGGGCCCAAGGCUUCGUGUUUUUUGCGGUGUUGCCUUUCAUUGUAUACUUAAUGAUUAAUGAUUUUUGGGAAAAUUUGAAAUAAGUCAAAUUUUAUAAGCCUACUUUUAAAAUAGGUUUAAUUUUUAAUGAUUUUUUAUUUUUAAAAUAAGUCUAAUUUUUAAUUACUUUAGACCCAUAUAAAAAUAUCUUUUUUUUAAACCAAUAGAAAUCUCAAGCUUUUUAAAUUGUUUAAAGUAAGUUUAGAAUGGUGACAAAAAAACAUGCAGACAAAAACCUAGUUAAUAACUUUUACCACUAUUACAUCACUGUCAUCUGCAUUUUCUUUCAAUGUUUAUAAUCUAGCCCUUCAAAAUCCCAUGUGUAUGACCAAAAUGAACAAGCAUGCCGCACAAUGUGUGGGUGGAGUGCUAUGUCUGCUAUGUCACUCCAGGGAUGAUAUUAAUUAGGGGCCAUGCUAGAGAGAUUGUUUAGUUGGAAAAAAAAAAAUUACAUCGAACACGGUUCAGUACAUCAAGUGUCAUAAUACAAGUGGUUGGAUACAUACUAAUCAUUUAUAUUAUUAAGGAAAGCCAAUGAAAAGUGUUCGAAAACUUUAAGUUUUAAACAAAAGAACAAAAUAAGGGUGUAAGUAAAUAGUACUAGAAGUGACUUUUUAAACUAAGAAUGUCUUUAACAUUAAAAGUGAACAGUGUCAUGAGUGUUUUGUUAAGACUCUCUUAAAUUAUGGUACUUGGUGUACUGGGCCAUUUGAUACAUUGAAAAAUCUCUCGUUCAAUCAUUUUAUAGAUUAUAUGACAUAAAAGUUGAUAAUUGAUGGUUGAAUACUUUAAAUCAUCGGAGAAAAAAUCUAACCAUAUUUUGUAGUCUACAAAAUAUGAUAUAAAACAUGAUUUUCUUGGUAUUGUAGCACAUUUAACAUGUUUCCCUUUUCGUCUCUAGCCUUUGGUUUUCUAAAAAUUACCGGUAUAUAUGUAUCGACUUGUAAACGUUUAUAUCGUGGACAACAAAUUAAAGAACAUUUCAAUAUUUGUAUAGACGACGAUAUUCCAUGAAUCACGUUGUACCCGACGUGGGCCAGAAAUUAAUGGAAAAGGUUAACAAAUAAUUUUCUUGAAUGAUCUUCCCGUUAGUUCGAAGAGUUAUUUUGCAGCUGAAACUCUGGCAAGCACUAUCCUACGAUCGAGCUAAGUAUCGCCGUCGGUGUCGAGUUGCUUUCAUGCAUGUUUUGCAUGGUUGCACCCAUGUUUGUAGAAAAUUUGAAAAAACAUCGUGAUAAAUACAAAUUUUAUAAAAACUAAUCAUACGCCUACAUGUUAGUUAUGCGUGGAAUUAAAUUCCUUUAUUAUUUGUUAUAAAAAUAUUUAUAUAACUUGUUUUCAGUAACUCUAGAGUCAAAAGCACUCCUCGACAUUUUACGUACCCAAAGAAAAAGAACACUCCUUCGCAACCCCAAUCUAAAGAUUUUUCUUUAUUUAUAUCUAUUAUUAUUAAGGGAAGCCGGAUAUGACAGUUCAAAAGUAUUACAAUAAUUUAGGAGAGUGAGGAAUUUCGAACCUAGAAUGAAUAGGUGAAAACCCAACACGUUAUCUAUUAGAAUAUUAGAUCACAACCGCAAUCCAAAAAUAAUAAGCAUUAGAAUCCAACUUAUAAUUCUUGCAUGUCCGUGAUCUAUCAACUACAACUCACAAAUGGUUGCCUAGGUUAGUCACUUUUUAUAUUCGCUAAAGAUAAAUAGUAAAACUUAGAUUUGUUUUUAUUUAUAAAUUUAUUACUGUUAAGUGGACAAUGAUGCUUUGAAAUUAUUACAAUAAUUUAGGAGAAGUGAAGUUUCGAACCUGAGACGCACGAGUGGAAAUUCAAUCUACUAGGAUAUUAAACGACAUCCAUAGUCACUUGGAUGUUAUUCAAACAAUAUGUGAAAAUACAAACCAGAGGAUUCUAGGAGCUUAGGACUUAUAAAAACUCUUAUUACUUGACCCAAAAAACGUCUUUGUUUUCAAUUAAUUUGUUGCACACACAAGCGUUUGCAUCAAGUUAGGUGGAAGAGGCAUUGCAAUUUGCAACUAGAUAGGACCAAAAUUAAAGACCAACUCAUUUAAUUAUUACUUUGUUUAGAUAUCUGUUAUUUUCAAUAUUUGGCUUUAUAUUCGGUGAUUUCACCCAGACUUUGUGAAAUAGAGUAAUCUUGUUAGCUAAAAGCUGGCUAGCUCCUCCUACCCAAUUGCUCGAAGGCUUUUUCCCCCAAUAGGGAAAGCAAUUAUGCUAGAAAAUGGUCAUACGGUGGAGAAAUUUUUUAUUGUGACGGGAACACAAAUGAUAUAUCACGUGUUUUAAUAGAAGUAGUGAGAAAAUUUUAUUUUUUAAGUUAUUAAUUUUUUAGCACACAUAUCACACAAUUUGUAUAAUAACACGUGAUGUAUCACCCCGUGUACCGAUCACACUGAAAAAUCUCUCCAUACGGUGAGUCCUUCGUAAAGUCGAGCUGGGUGGUUUUUGAGGCUGAGCCAAAUAUUUAGGUCAGAUGGUUGUUAAGCUUUGUCUUUGUUAUGUUUUUAAUUUCACUUCAAAUGAAAAGGUUCUUGUCAAUGCCUUUUUUAAACAUCAAGUUGCACGAAACCAUCACUUCUAGGAGAAAAAUUUACAGGCAUUUGUUGCAUGUGAUCUGCGUAGUGUAUUACAACAUCAUACGAGUAGCAAAAGACUUAAAUGUGUAACACAUGUUGCUAACGAUCUGUGCAUGCAAGUUUCUCUUCGUUUUCACAUUUACCUUCUUAUUAUUCCUUUAAGAUUGAGGGUUAAUUAAAAUUAGUUGAAUCUACCUUCUUAUUAUUUCUUAAACUCAAACCCUAAUUCAGCAGCAGUACGAGGAUGGGGGAAAAUGAGAGCAGGUGGCUUCGGUUCGGAUAAGUGAUGGAGGAAGUCAAAUUGCAGAGACGCAUGAUUAACGGUUUAGGGGUUUAAUUAUCGGCUUAAAACCGAGAGAAUGCAAAUGUGAAGUUAGCUUUAAUAAUAUAGUUAAGUUAAAAAAUUUUGCUAAAAUCUCUCUUUAUUUAUUUAGAUUUAGCCAGUUAUAUUGUUCAUCAAGUUGAUAAGCUACGAACAUUUGAAGCUUGAUUCUGGAGAUUUAUAUGUUAAUUAAAAUAUUAUACAGCUUUGCUUUUGAGUUUUGCAAAUAACAAUCACAAGGGAUAGAUUUCAAUUCAUCUUUGAUAGGGUUGAUUGAGGGUAGAUUCAAUUUGUUUAAUAUUCAACAAAGAGUAAGGCUAAGUAAACCAACUUUUUAGAUCAAAAAUUUGUAAAUCAUAUGAUAGGUAACUAAUAUGAAAUAAGCACGUUAAUCAAUACUCAAAUAAUAAUUCAAUUAUUGACAACCAUCUCCUAUAAAUGGGUAUAUUUAAAAUGCUUAAAAUAUUUUCCCACCGAUUCACAGUAGAUUUGUUGUCCUAUAUAAUUGAAGGCAUUUUUGCUUCAUCAGCUUUGCACCUGAAAACUUUGGUACAAUAUAUUUCCAUAUAUAGUAUGUAUUACACUUAUAGCUAAGCUAUAGGUUGGCAUUUGUUGUCGACAGAAUUGGUUGCUAACCAAGUUCGCAAAGUCACAGUUAGGUCGGCGGCAGGGCCGGCCUAAAGAUUUUUGAGAUCCAGGGCGACAUUAAAAAAUGUGCUUUCAUUUUAAUUAUAUAAGAAAAAUAUUUGUUUUCACACGUAAAAUAUCGAUAAAAUUAUAAUUAGAAAAGCACUUCAAACUUAAUAAUUUAGAAACACAGAAAAACUAAUUUAUUUUGUAUCGUGAGAAGGAAACAAAAAAAAUUCCGGGUUUACAAGUAGAUAGAUAUGAGUUUUGUUUUCCAUCUGAACUUUUGAAGUGUUUUUGUAUAAAUCGUGCAGUUUUUUUUUCAUAUUUACUAACCUUGUCAAUAUGGUACUAAAAAAAUAAUGAUGUUUUUGAGUCUUUAAUUGAUAUGUAUAAGUAAUAAAUGGGUACUAAAUUAAACUUUUUGAUGACACGUCAUAUGAUUUGCAAAUUUGGUUUAAAAAUUUGGUCAACGCAUUACUCUUCAUUGAAGAUUAGACUUGAAUUGGAACAAAUGUUUAAAAAUAACAAGCCACAUAGCUACUAGCUACAUUAAAAAUAAAUUAACAACACAAAAAUUCAUAAAAAUUGAAAAGAAUAAACAUGCACUUAGCAUUUCAAACUUAGGACCACUCGUUAAUUUUAAACAACAAAAACCAUUGAUUCUAAUUGAACUUUUUGAUCAUUUAGCCAAAUUUUAUAUAUUUAUACUCUUGUGAAAAGAAAUUUGUAAAAAUUGAAAAGUAAAUAAGCACACAUGGUGUUUUGAACCCAAUACCUCCUCAUUAAUUUCAAACAAACUACUAAUUAAAAAUAAAUUAACAACACAACAAAAAUUCGUAAAAAUUGAAAAGAAUAAACAUGCACUUAGCAUUUCAACCUUAGGACCACUCGUUAAUUUUAAACAACAAAAACCAUUGAUUCUAAUUGAACUUUUUGAUCAUUUAGCCAAAUUUUAUAUAUUUAUACUCUUAUGAAAAGAAAUUUGUAAAAAUUGAAAAGUAAAUAAGCACGCAUGGUGUUUUGAACCCAAGAUCUCCUCAUUAAUUUGAAACAACAAAAUCAUCAAUUCUAGUUAAAUUUCUUUGUCAUUAAACCAACUUUUAUAAAUUUAUACUAUUAUGAAAACAUAUAUAAAUAUAUUACUCUAAUAAUUUUGGUGCUCCCAAUUACUUUGGGCUCCGAACGGUCAACCUGCCAGACUGGACCUGGACCGGCCCUGGUCAGCCGGCCCGUAAUCCAUUUCGGUGAUGUCGGCUAGGUAACCCUACUGCAAGAAUGGAAGAUGUAAGAAUUACGAAGAAAAUAAAUUAGCAAGAACCACACUGUAUAAUUAUUUGUACCGUUGAAUUAAUAGAGUAUAAAAAAUUAUCGAACAAAAAAAAAACAUAGUGUGUACAAUCAUUUCCAAUAAAUGUAAAGGCAAUUUUAUAUCAAUAUUUCAAACCCUCACACAUGCUACGAUUGGUUAUAAACUGCAGCACAACAUGGAAAUCAUGAUAGAAAUUAGAAAAAUAAAUUGCAGUUAUGAUUCAUUAACUUUAAUUCAAUUGAAGUACUGGUCUUUCAAUUAAAAAUCUAUUACCAUUGAUCUCUCAACUCAUCAAAACGUGCAGCUAUGAUCCCUCAACUAAAAAUUCAUUACCAUUGGUCCCUCAACUUUAAUUUAACUGGAGAAAUAGUCAUGGUCAUUCCAACAUAAUUCGUUUUGACAAUUUUUUUGAUGUAGUUGACGAAAAUGACUAUAAUUACAUACUUUGAUGAGUUAAGGGACCUUAAUUAUAUAAAAUGAAAACUAAUGAAAAUGACUUGAAAACUUUGAGUUUUAAUGAUAAGGACAAAUUAAAUGGUAAAGUAAAUAGUAUCAUGAUUGACUUUUUAGUGUAAAAAUGUGGUUUUUUGUUAAAGUGAACAUUACCGAGUGCUUUUCAUAAAAGUUCCUUUAUAUAAAUGAUUAUUCCAACAUAACUUAUUUUGACAAAAUUUUGACGAAAUUGAUGAAAAUGACUAUAGCUACACAAUAAGUUGAGGGAACAAAGGUAAUGAAUUUUUAGUUAAGGGAUCAUUGCUCCAAUUUGAUUAAAGUUGAGAGAUCAUUGUUACAAUUUACUCAAAUUUGAAAGGAAUAGACGCAACUAUUUAAUAUAAUAUUAGGUCUGCCCAAUUAGAUGUUUCUCUACCCUACCAAUGGGAAUGGCAAUGCUAUAUAUAUUAUAACUUUAUAAACCUGUUUUUGCAUGAUUAAAUUUAAAUUGUAGAUGGAGAUGAAAAUAAUUAGUGAUAUUAAUAUUUACUGAGUACUACAUCAUUUUAAACAUGAUCAUUCUAUUUAGUAGUUGAUCUGUGGUCGAGAACUUAUUAUAUAACAUGUUAUUUUCCUUAAAAGGGAUAAGUGGGAUGACUUCGUCACUGUAGUCUACUUUUUUGGAAGGUCGAGAGGAUUUACAAAGACAUUUCAGCCUCAUUUGCUACUAUCGUUUGAUUUACUAGCGUCAUGAGUCGAACUCAGGACAUACCAUGUAAAAUACUGAUCUAAAAUUUGUCCCUAACUACUGGACCACAUGAUGGUGGUUGAUUAUUUAACAUGUUAAACACUCCAACAUGGAAAAAUUGAUUAUAUGUGGUUGGUAAGGACGACUUCUAUAAUGAUUGUAGAUGAUUGUAGAAGAUUAUAGGCUCUCAAAAAUAGAUGCUUACAAGGGCGAUUAUAUAAUUUGGAUCUCUUUAUCCUUGUUUCUCUGUUAAUAGAUACUUAAAAGGAUGUCACAUGUUUUUUUUAUUUGAAACAAACGAUAUUAUAUCCACUAAAGAGGUGGAAGAGUGGGUUAAACCUCACAGUUGCUAAUAAUAAUGUGGUUUAAAUUCGUCUUUAGUGAAAAUUGAACCUAAGACCCCUUAUUUACAAAUGAAGAGUAAUAUCAUUAAACCGUAGUUUUAGAUGAUAGGAUGUCAUAUGUUAUGCAUGCACACACAUUAAAAAGUAAUAUGUAUAGAAAGGAAGUGAGACGUGUGAAAUUAGUUGAUUUAACAUAUUUCCUUACAAUUACCAUGCUAUAUUCGUAGCUGUUAAAUUUACUAGCUAAAAGCGUUAAAAAGAGUGAAUGACCUAGUUCAUAUUGUAUUUAGACCGAGGUUAGCAACGAUAAUCGUCUCAAAUAAUUGUAUAGAUAUAGAUAUUAGUGCGCUUGAAGUUAGAUUUGCAGUUGUAAUAGUAAGGGUGACAAAUUUAAACACAACUCAUAAACUCGAAUCAUGAGCACACAAAACUUAUGCAAGUAAAAAUGGGUCAACCAACCGAGACACAACUAAUAAACGGGUGGGUUUUAGGAUAACUUGCGAAUGUGUGUAGUACCUACUCAGCAUUUUUAAUAAACAAGUCAUCUCAAACAUGCUAAAUUUUGUAGCUUGCAUAACGCGACCUGAUGAUAAAUAUGAAAAUGUAAUCGAUUGAAUAUCUACAUGAUUAAAUAGGCUAGGGUAACAGAGUUUGAGUAUGCUAAAUGGUUUAAACAGGUUAAAUGUGUUUAACAAGUUAACCUAAUUAACAAAUCAACCCAAUUUAUUUAAUAAACGGGUUGCGCAAAUCGUGUCAUGGUAUUAAUUUAAUAAAACGGUCGCGUUGGAUUUACCAGUUUGUCCCGAUCAACACGUCGACUUGACCGACUUGAUCCGAUCCGACCCAUUGCCACAGAAUGGUCUCAGAUACAAUCUGACGCCAUUACAUAUUUACUGUUUUACAGUAAGACAACAAAUGACAAUGGAGUAAACUCCACGAAAUCAAAAUAAAACCGCGAAAGCGAUGGAAAGGUUUAGAUGUCUGGUGUUAAUCUAAUCAAGUGGAUCCCACAACAACGCAACACACGCAGAAGAGUUCUAAUUAUAUUUUGGUGUAUUUUUCUCACUAUCCUAUUUAUCAUUAUUAAAGGAGUCUAAAUUUUAAAUGUUAUAUAUCUAUUUACUAUAUAAAUUUUGAAAUUUAAACUUACUCGGUCCAGCUUCACAUGGGCCAACAAACCUAAAUAACAUACCACUUUUACGGCACUUCUGGAGGCUGAGCAAAUUUCCCAACCUCGGGAUGCUGAAAGGACGAGUUUCCGAUCAGUUUAACAGCUGGUCAAAGUGUAGACGGUGGAGAAUCGACAAGCAUUGUUGUGGGAUUUGAAGGUGCAGACGGGCUUGACAAGGGUGGAAUCUAGGGCGCAGCGGAUUUCGCCCUCCUCGAGCUGCUGGAAGAAGUGGAUCCAAGAGUUGCAGGAGCAGUGUCACGUUUCUGCACAAUCAUAGUCCAAUGGCGUGCCAUGUCAUCAGUUAACUGAGUUGUUGACGGAAAGUAUGAAAAUGACACAAAACUCAAACUUUAGGUAUGAGAUUGGAAUGCAAAAAAAAAAAACUUGAUAUAUGAAAAUUGAAAAUCACGAUUGUGGGUGAAAAUCACGAUUGUGCAUCAACAACGAUAAUUCAAAGUAAUAAAAUGAGAAUUACCCUAUUCAUUAACAACUUAAGGGUUAAUCGUGGCCGUAGUUAACUAUCUAGCAUCCAGACGGGGUCUUUUAAAACACAAUGCUCGUAUGUAAUCCAAUGCAUUUCAUAUAUGGGAUAAUUAAUAAUAAUAAUAAUAAUAAUUCGUCACUAGCAAAAGUGGUCUCUUAACGUAGUGAUGCAAAAUUUUCUCCAGUCCAUGACCAGGAAGGAACUGUUGAAGCCACGCCUGGCAUUGCAAAGUUUGACAAGGACAUGCACAGUAUGCCCUCUUAUGAUCUUAUCCAUCUCCAACACCACAAAAAAUAACCUAUACCACUCUGCCCUCUUAUAAUUGGGAUAAUUCUAAAAUGAAUUAUGAGAAAGUGACAACAAAUUUACAACAUUUAAAAUGUCACAACAUACCAAUAUUCUUACUUGUGAUAAUUGGGUUAGUCCACGUCACUAGAGCAUCUUCGAUAGCCUGGUUAACCAUGUUACGUGACUAUUUUGAUUCAAAAUUUAUAAGCUCAGUGCUAUGACAAACCAACUAAAACAAGUAGGUCAUGUUUAAAGUAUUCAAGGUUAAUAAAAGUGGCAAUAUUUAUAGGAUAAUGUUCAAAAAUUAGAUGCGAAAAACUUACGAUUCAAGUGAUUAAAAACAUUUAUGUUUGUCUUGAGGUCUAACCACCCUGGUAUAAUGAUAUUGUCUUUUAUCAACUGAAAAAUCUUUCUAAAGCUAGCUAGUUUAAAAAGCUUUCAAUUCCUGUAGAUGGUAAACUUAUAAAUAAAAUAUAAAUACUGCAAGGAUUUUACCCAUUACAAAGUAAAAAUAAGUGGUACUAUUCACACAUUUAUUAUCUAUUUGAUUCAACGACUAAAAAUUAAAAGCAGUAAAAUAGCACCGCUCAUAAAAAUCUAGUUACAGCUGCUAUAAUUCGGAGGCAGAAUCUUUCCCCUCCCACUUUCCGUGUCCUCCUGUGCCCUAUUGUUUUGUGUGGUCACGGUUAAGUCACGUCAAUAUUAUAUAUAUAUAUAUAAAUAGUAAUAUAAAAUGUUAACGUGGCUUAACUGUGACCACACAAACAGGAAGGCGGCAUCGGAAGCGAGAGGGCAAAGAAUCUGCCUCCCUAUAAUUCCAAGAUAAAAAGAUAGAUGUGGAGCUGUGAGGAACAUUUUUAACUUUCUAGGGUUCCUGGUUGUGACCCAAGUUCAGUGCACCUAAUUGUCCUGUCGACCUAUUUGGAGAAGGAGUUGACCAUUCACACAUUUUAUUUUACUUUUCAUAUACCCUUUGAUAAUUUUUAUCUGUUUAUCUUCUUCAAUUCAUCCGAUCCGACGAUCGAAAAUUAAAAAAAUAUGUGAAAAGUAAAAUGGGAUGUGUAGAUAUCACAUCUCUUUAGAGAAAUAUAUCCAAAUUUAUUUUGAGUACAGUUAUAAUUUUUCUAUGUCAUCAUGCAUUAAUGAAUGAAGUUAUGAAGUUUUUUAUUGUAAUUGGCACCAGAAUAUUACAUCAUAUAUUUUUAUAUAAACGGUAAGAAUUUUUUAUUUUUUAAAUUAUUAACUUUUUAAUCUACGUAUCUCAUUAUUUAUAUAAUGAUACAUCAUCUUAUAUUCCAAUCACGUUGAAAAAUCUUUCUCAAAGACAUGGAGAAUCGAAGACCAUACCAUCUGACAUAACAGUGAAUUACAGAACAGCAUGUACUGUCUACCAAAUUGUCCGUACAAUGUUUGACUCCCACACAAAAUUCAUUUCCUUAAACAUAAUAGCCGUUCGCACUACCCGAACUUUGUUUUUGGGUUUCCGUUAAUUUGAGGUACAAUUUGGAGUUUUUAUUGGGAGGUAGCGGGAAUGAAAUUGAAAUGUAAUAAUAUUGAUUUAUAUAGAUGCAUUUAUACAUACUAGUCUUUAUGUAUGCAUGUGAUUUUUUGAAUUGCAGUGUGCUAUGCGUAAAUUACACAUUUUAAAUGUAUUUAUAUAUGAAAAUUGAUAAAAGAAAAGUUAUAUAUUUGAAGUAAAUGAAUAAUCUUAUAUCAUGCUAGCAGAAACUCCUCAUAAACUAAUUAAAGCAGUUAUAAGAAAAUCGGUUUUUAUAGAAUUUACAUUAAGAAUAAAGAAAAUAAUAUGUAAUAAACAACUGAUUGAAUCACGUUAUUGUUAACCCAUUGUGAGGCUAAGCCCACCCUCUCUAUUCUUUGUUAAAAAAAAAUCAUUUGACAACUAUUUUAAUCACAUUAUUAUCCGUCUGUGAAAGACCAUUUUUAUAACCGACAUUACACGCCUCUUAAGAUGUUUUGAACUUGUUUGAAAAUAGAGAAAAUAAUAUUUAAUGAAUAGCUAAUUAAAUCAUAUUAUUAUUAGCCUAUUGUAAAGUACUAAUUAAAAAAAAUAUCCAAAAAAAUUAAUUAUUAAAAUGACGAAAAUACCCCUACCACAUUUGAUGCAUUAUUUUGGGUUGCUUUUGAAUUUUUUUUAUUUGAGGGACAUUUUUGUCUAAUUAUUUUUGUUGAAGCUUGUGACACUAAAAAACACUAUUCAUUGGGCUUGUUGGCUUUAUAUAUAAGAUAGAGAGAAAAAAGGGUCCUAUAUUGAUUCAGACGUUGUACAUGCAGGAUAAGGAUAUUAAAAUUUAAAAAAAUUAAAUAAAUAAAUAACCAAAGAUUUCACAUAUUAUUUUUUAUCAAAAAAUCAAUCUAAUUAUUUAUUAACUGUCUAUUUACAAUACAUACGUGGUGAUCAAUUGAAUCUUCAAUUAAUUAACAUCUUUUUUUUUUUAUUUUUUUUUAUUGACCUCCUACUUCCUUUAAUCCACGGGAUGUCAAGUUUAGAUUGCUAGUCGAUUAUAUUAGUUUCUAGUAUGGGUAGGAAUAUAGUAUAUAUUGUGAUGCUUAGUUAUAUUUGACUACAUAUUUAGUUGUUCAUUCACUUAGUUUGUGAUACCGUCAGUUAACCGUUACAGAAUAUUUCAUUUUUGAGGUAUUCAUCAAUUUACCCUCUGAACUUGUAAGGAUUUGCCAAUUUCCCCCCUCAACUUUAAUUUUGUCCAAUUUUCCCUUCUCAACUCUCAUUAUUAGUCAAUUUGCACCUUACAGUUAACUUUUUUAAUUUUCCAUCCAUUUUUCCCUUAAGUUGGUCAUGUGCUAUCCGUAUGACCACCUUUAAAGGGCAAAAAAGUCAUUUCCUACACCUUCCAUCUACUUCCUUUUCUCCACCCACACUUUGUACUCCCCAAAGUCUUCUUCUCUGUUAGAGAAGCAACUCAGUUCUUUAGCUCCCAAGACUGCCCUUCAAUCACCACCCUCCCCGAUGAUGGCGUGGACUCCGACGAAUCAGACGACGGCCACGUGAUUUGCCGUCCUCAAGCAGUCAACGUAGACCCUUACAUCCGCUGCCUCUUCAUCCUCCAACACUCCUGCCCCCAAAACGCAGUCUUCCACUUCGUCACCUUCGUUGACGCCAACGCCUCCCUCCUCCGCUGUUUGCAGCCCAGUCCAUUUGAUAUGCUGGUUUUGCAAUUUGCAGUUUCCAGCUGAGUUAAGAGAGCGAGUCAGUCAGCAGCUUGAAUCAAAGAGAUGAUGUGAGAGAAAGAAUUGAGGAGAAAGGGAAAAAAAAUGGAGGGAGACAGAAGUUGGAAACGGAUUGGGGCCAAUAGUCUUAAAUUUCAGGUAGACAAGUCAUAGGCCCACUGCAACAACACCGAUACUGUCCCCACUUGGACACCUGCUCAAUCCGUCAGGUGUAGGGUUUUAAUACAAAAGACCUCGGUGUUAAUUAGAAUGGAGUAAUUCUAUAUAAAUGGCUUGUUCUUAAGCCUUCUAACCGAUGUGGGACAAAGGAAUUCUAAUACUCCCCUGCACGUGAGACCCUAUUUUAUGGGUCACACGUGGAGUUCCACACAUCGACAACCACGUGGAGCCAAGCCGGGGCUCACCCGUUCGCGCUGGGCCAAUGCAUGUGGCAUCUCUUGGCCUACGUGGAGCCAACUAGGGGCUCACCCAUUCGCGCGGGGUCAAAGGGGACCCACCUGAUCACAUGGAUGUACGGGCCCGUCCCCUGGCUCUGAUACCAUCUUAAAUUUUAGGUAGACGGGUCAUGGGCCCACUCCAACAAUACCGAUAUUGUCCCCACUUGGGCACCUGCUCAAUCCGUCACGUGUAGGAUUUUAAUACAAAAGGCCUCGGUUUUAAUUAGAGUGAGGUAAUUCUAUAUAAAUGACUUGUUCUCAAGCCUUCUGGCCGAUGUGGGACAAAGGAAUUCUAACAAAUAGUGAGCCGGAUCGCAGCCAAGUGAGGAGAAAGAGACAACGAAGAUUGUGGAGUUGCAAAGCCGCAAGCGACACCUGAGUGUAGAUCUAAAACCUCAAAAUCUUCGACGGCUUACAAAAGUAAACGCUAUUCGCUCAAGACUCAGGAGAGAGAGAGAGAGAGAGAGAGAGAUAGGGUGUUGAGGGAUGGGCUGCUUGGUUGCGGUGGGCUGCUGGCGGCUAAGUUGUGAGAAUAAGAGAGUUCGAAGAAAAGGAAGAAGAUAGAAGUUGUAGGGAAAAUGACUUUUUUGCUCUUUUAAGGUAGUCAUCUCGAUAACAUGUGACCUACUUAACGGAAGAAUGGAUAGAAAAUUAAAAAAAUUAACAGUAUGAUGAAAAUUGACUAAUAAUGAGAGUUGAGGGGGAAAAUUGGCUAAAAUUAAAGUUGAGGGGAGAAAUUGGCCAAUCCUUGUAAGUUCAGGACGUAAAUUGAUGAAUACCCCGUCCUUUUUUUGUUACCUGGCUUAGGGGUGGUUUGGGAGUGAGGUGCUUAAAAAAAAAGCACCCAUGAAAAAAAGCUGUGAGGGUUUUAGGUGUUUGGUAAACUGAAAAAAAAUGGCUUAUUUUGGAAGCUGCUGUGAGAAUAAGUUGAAAUCAAAGGAAAAAGCUGAAGCUGCUAUUUGCAGCUUUGGAAAAUUGGCUUUUUUUUCAAAGCACACGGAGCUACAAUGCUCCUUUAAUGAAAAAACCUACUAUCAGAUUGUUUUUUUUUUUCCAAAAACACUUUUACAAAAAAGUUUACCAAACACUCUGCUGAUUUAUUUCACAGCCGCUUAUUCUCACAGCACAGCCGCUUAUUCUCACAGCAGUUUUUUUUCAAAGCACAACAAUACCAAACCAGCCCUUAGUCCAAAAUGCCGUAACUACAUGGCUUUCUUUACUCGUAUCAACUUCCCACAUGGUAAUUACCAAUCCAAGAAAGAAAAUAAAUGUAUCGGAUUCUGAAGAAAUACUCAUGCAAUAUCAAAUUAUUUGUUGCGGAAGACUCGAAUCAUUUGCUUUCUUUUGGCAUAAUCUUUUUGAAUUCAUAAAAAUAUCAAUCUAAAACCCGUUUGCUAAGGAAUUUAUUUUAGUUUUUAGGAUUCAAUUUUUAAUUUUUUUUGUUAAAGACAAAAGAACGUAAAGAAAUGGAUUUAGAAUGGAACACAAAUGAAACUAAAGAUGAAAAGUUCUUCUCUAAGAUUCUGAGUUGUUGGAAGGAGAACCCUCCUGACAUAUGUUCUUCUCCAAGGUGGUAAAAUUUAAUUUACCCAACGUUCUUAAAGAAGCAUUUGAAAAGAAAGAAAAUUGAUGAUUAUUAGGGACGGGGAGGAAUUCGAAACUACUACAAUAAUUUACAGAAAUGGAGAGUUUCGAACCCGGAAUACUUGGGUAGAAAUCUAACAUCCUAUCCACCAGAAUGACCACAUGCCAUCUUGAAUUCCACUUGAAAAGAAUUUGGUGAAGAAACAAGAAAAUGCCAGUUGAGAAGAAUUAGAGUACAAGUAUGGGCCUGUAGAGCCGAAGGUAAUCCGCUGAAGGAUGAACAACUAAGUCACCUCGCAUCGUACAUGACCAAGUCACCAACAGCAAGUAAAAGCUGCGGGAAAGAAAUUACCAUGAGUAUUAAUUUUCAAACUAAUUCUGCAUAUUAAAACAGAUAGCCUGAUAUGACCGCAGCAGAAAAGCUCGCUUACUUUAUAUGUUGCAACUUUACAUCUUCAACAGCAUAAUCUGCCACCGUUGAAGCAUGGUGAGUUCCAUGAAAGUAAAACCCCCUCGAAGACUCUCAUGAGUGAUAUCAUGGUCCAAUGAGCUUGCUGCAAAAUGAACAUUUCAUAUUGGUACUCUCAUAAUAAUAUCACUCAACAGUUCAUCGAGUUACUCGAGCGAUAUCAAUUACAAACAAAAUCAACAGAAUUCAGAUCACUGUGCAUAUGAUUCAGAAAUUACAAGUAGCCCCAAAACUAUCGGUCUAAAAUCUUCAUAAGAAACCAAUGAAAUAAGUAAACUGCAAGAGAUCGAAGCAACAAAUAUGAUAAAUCUACCACUCCAUUGUGAUCAGGAUAAAAAAUCAUUAGCCGAUAAUUUUAAGACAACAAUCUGGCCAGAGGCAAAAUUCCACUUAAAAAGUUUUGGGACAAAACAAUGUGAAUCAGAAUCAGAACUAGUCUGGGUCUGUGACUAAUCGUGAUUGACUUAUGGCUGAACAACCAAAUCCGGUUCGAUUUCAAUGUAUUUCUCAACAACGUUAUGAACCAAUUCGGAAAUUACAUGCUAGCUUGAAAAGGCCUGUAAGGCAAGUAAAUUACUGAACAAGGUAGAAUGAGAAAUGUAGCAUGCAAUGGCUGAAAGAAGGAUGAAACAAUAUCUAAAACAACAAAAACCACAUCUGGAAAAACAUAUCUUGUGCUACAGUACUUGGACUCUGUUGUACCUACUGCACUACAUCGUUCCAGUUGAGUUGAGUAAGAGCGUCAUGAAAAAUGCCAAAGGAUGCUAAAAGAGUUAUAUAUGCCUAUUGGAAACACAACGUAUAUAGCAAGUUGACUCAACUACUAGAAGAGGAAAGGAGGUGGAGUUUGAAAAACUUACGUUGCUUAAUUCACUCCGACAGUAAAGCGGUGACGCAUUGCAUAGCUUUGGCAAAAGGUAGAUUCAUCAAAUUCUUGUAAUUCCUAAUCCCCAGCACUAUAAGGGAUGUAAGGUUACCCAACAAGUCUGGUAAAGUCUCCAGUCCCUCAAGUAGUUGAUAUAUAAACCAGUUAAAGAAAAGUGUUGAAUUUGAUGAGGCAGAGACUUGAGCUUUGGCCACCCUUUAAAAUGUAACAAUUCAUGCCGCAAUGAUCAACCUUGAACAUCAGGAAUGGAAUUGAGCUCCUCCCCGAACCUGCCAAUGGCGAAUUUUAUCAAUUUCGGGUUUGUAGACCUUUCCACCGAUUUCUUAAAUUUGCCAAAUUAUAAAAUCCCUAACUUAGCAUUGCAACUGAUGAUUCUUUACCUAAUUUCUGCAAUAAUGCAGGCAUUUAACAGUUCAUCAAGUUACUCAAGGGGAUAUGAAAUAGCAAUUCAAUAAUCAACUGUAUUCAAACCAUUGUUCAUCAGAUUAAAAAAAAAAUUGUUCAGAAAUCACAAGUAACCAUAAAAAUAUCAUCCGAAAAACUUUGUAAGAAUAAUAACAGACGGAAAGCAAUUGCAGUAAAUCUAUAUUUAUAUUAUCUGAACAUGGUUUUACAUGAUCACAAGUCUUGGCAUUACUCUUCCAAGUUUAUAACAAGAUUUGAAUACCAUGAUCGGAAAUUUAAUACCUUGUACAUCAGCACUUGGACAGAGUUUCCACUCAUUGAUUAUCCUGAAAACGGCCACAUCAUGCCAAAAGAAAUAUAGAUGCCAGUGGGAAACACACAACACAUAUAGUAAGUCAGAAGUCAACAGUACAUUGUAUUGAUCAAUUAGAAGAGGAGCAGGUGUGUGGUUUGAAAAGCUUACAUGACUUGAUUUCAAUGCAAAAGUUCGAGCCGUUUGGAUUUGUUUGUACAUAAAAUAUGGAAUACAAGUACUCUUGGAGAACUGUGUAGCCAUUCCCCUUAAAGUUCCAUCCCCUGAAUAUCAAACUGUACAUACUUUGGUGCCUAUCUACAAGAACAAGGGCGACGUACAAAAUUGCAUGAACUAUAGGGGUAUUAAGCUAAUGAGUCAUACAAUGAAGCUCUGGGAGAGAGUCAUUGAGCAUAGAUUGAGGCAAGAGACACGGGUUUCGGACAACCAAUUCGGGUUCAUGCCAGGGCGCUCAACCAUGGAGGCAAUCUAUCUCUUACGAAGAUUGAUGGAAAGAUAUAGAGAUGGGAAAAAGGAUUUACACAUGGUCUUUAUAGAUUUGGAAAAAGCGUAUGAUAGGGUCCCAAGAGACAUUCUUUGGAGAAUUUUAGAGAAGAAAGGAGUACGAGUAGCAUAUAUCCAAGCUAUAAAGGAUAUGUAUGAAGGAGCAAAGACUGCCGUAAGAACUCAUGAAGGACAAACCGAAAGCUUCCCCCAUAACUGUAGGAUUACAUCAAGGCUCAUCCUUAAGUCCUUACCUUUUUGCGUUGGUAAUGGAUGAGUUAACAGGACAUAUUCAAGAUGAUAUUCCUUGGUGUAUGCUUUUCGCAGACGAUAUAGUGUUGAUAGAUGAAACUCAGGAAGGGGUAAAUGCAAAGCUUAACCUUUGGAGAGAAGUGUUGGAAUCUAAAGGUCUUCGCCUAAGCCGAUCAAAGACAGAAUAUAUGGAGUGCAAGUUCAGUGCAAAUGGAGGCCAAAACGAGUUAGGGGUGAGGAUCGGAGAUCAAGAAAUACCAAAAAGCGACCGUUUUCGUUACCUAGGAUCUAUCUUGCAAAAGAACGGAUAAUUAGAUGGAGAUCUCAACCAUAGAAUACAAGCUGGAUGGAUGAAGUGGAAGAGUGCAUCCGGCGUGUUGUGUGACCGCCGUAUGCCACUUGAAGCUCAAGGGAAAAUUUUAUAGGACGGCAAUAAGGCCGGCGAUGCUGUAUGGCACAAAAAUGUUGGGCGGUGAAACAUCAACACGUACACAAAAAUGGGUGUAGCGGAGAUGAGGAUGCUUCGUUGGAUGUGUGGGCACACGAGAAAGGAUAAGAUUAGGAAUGAGGAUAUCCGGGGUAAAGUAGGAGUAGCCGAAAUUGAAGGAAAGAUGAGAGAGAAAAUCGGUUACGGUGGUUUGGACAUGUGCAAAGAAGGCCUACUGACGCUCCGAUUAGAAGAUGCGACUAUGGGACAGAGGUUCAGGGCCGAAGGGGUAGAGGAAGACCUAGGAAAACUUUGGAAGAGACUCUAAGAAAAGACUUAGAGUACUUGGAUCUAACGAAGGACAUGACACAGGAUCGAGCACAAUGGCGUUCUAAGAUUCAUAUAGCCGAUCCCACUCAGUGACUUGGAUUUUCCAAGUCUCCAAUCGAGAAGUUUUCCUCACUCGGGAAAUUAAGGGAACACUACCCCAACCUACAUGCUCCACUCAGAAAGCUUCAACAUACAAGCUUCAACAAAAGAAAAUUCAAAGAACUUAGCGAAGAAGGCUUUGGUGUAUUUAACACAAUACGUUGAAAUGAAGGAAAGCUUAUUUAUUGAUAUCCCCGAUCAGCUACAAAUAUGUACAUAUACAUGAGUCAAAAUAAACACACAAGACGGAGCCUUCACAAAGGUUGCUUAGGAGAAGUCUCAGCAGUCGGUAGAGCCCCAGAAAGAGAAGGCACCGGAGGGGGAUCAUUUGGAGUCUCAGUACUGGACAGAACCCUAGAAGGAGGAGGCAUCAGAGGUUGAUCAUUCGGAGCUUCAUUACGCGGUACAGCCCCAGAAGACGAAGGCAAUAAAUGCCUUUGGAACAAACCCACAAAUCUCUGAUGAUCAAGUAAAACCUGACCAUCAGUUUCCUUCAUCUGGUCAAGCUUCCUCUUCAUGUUUGUAGCAUAGUCAGGUGCGAGUCGGUGCAACUGUUUAUUCUCAUGCUUGAGCCCUCUAAUCUCCUGUUUGAGACUCAUCACUUCAGCCGCCAAGGAUUCAACUUGGCGGGUUCGAGCAAAUAGGCGUUGGGCCAUAUUAGACACAGAACCUGCACACUGAACACUGAGAGCCAGCGAAUCCUUAACAGCUAACUCAUCAGACCGUUUGGAAAGUAGUCUGUUAUCUUUGGGAGUGAGAAGGUUCCUGGCCACCACCGCAGCGGUCAUAUCAUUCUUCAUCACGGAAUCCCCAACGGUAAGAGGACCAGUAGGGGAGACGAAGGAUGGGCGCCAUAUGUUGUCUGGAGAAGGCGGGGCUGCCUCUUCAACAAGGUUCAAGUCAAAACAACGGUCGAAGGGGCCAGACAUUUUCAAAGGUGUUGAAGAGAGAAGAGGUCGGACAAAUCAAGAUCUUAGAAGUGCAAGAAUGAAGCUUCUACUGGUGGAGAUUCAAGUGUGCUUUGGAACUUAAUGUCAGCCUCUAUAAAAAUCUGCACUCGACGGAGCUUCAGAAAUCGAAGAGGCGCCUGCUCAGAAAUCGAAGAGGCGCCUGCUCAGAAAUCGAAGAGGCGUUUGCUUUCUCAAAAGCACGAGGGUUGAUCUCAGAAAUCGAAGAGGCGUUUGCUUUCUCAAAAGUUGGGCUGCUCAAAGACCACGAAGGCCGAUCUCAGAAAUCGAAGAGGCGCUCGCUUUCUCAAAAGCUGGGCUCCCCAGAGACCACGAGGGCCGAUCUCAGAAAUCGAAGAGGCACCUACUUUUCCAGCCUUGUCAGCACUCGUCACACGCACACUCAGCUUUGCAGAAAUUAUGAGCAUUCUGUCGAAGACUUCUGGGGAAGUAGAAAACACAUGAAUCUUACUGUUCAAUCACCCACUUCCCACACGCAACAAUAGCUCAUGGGUACCACAGAUAACUUUGCCAAAGUUCUCUGCCAAAGUUGAGCACGUGAAGCUUGCAGCUCCCACUACAUCGCUCUGACCAAGAAGGGUAAAAGAAUAGCAAAGAAACAGCACUAACAAAGUUUAGACCCAUAAAUUUUGAAGGUCUAGCUACCAUAUUAUUACCCACAAGGGUAAAGGAACAGUACCACUGCUGGAUAAUUGGAAAGUCCUUGUGUGUCAACCUCUGUGCUUCGUGGCAAGGUAGACUAGCAAACAUGCCCAACCUUUACUCACAUUCGAGAAAAACACUCCCAAUAAGAUUGCUUGCUCCAAAAUCGAAGAGGCACCGUCCUCCGAAUCUCGAGAGCCAGACUCCCAACAUGACUACUUUCUUAAAAAUCGAAGAGAGGGUAAAGGAACAGUACCAUUGCUGGAUAAUUGGAAAGUCCCUGUGUGUCAACCUCUGUGCUUCGUGGCAAGGUAGACUAGCAAACAUGCCCAACCUUUACUAACAUUCGAGAAAACACUCCCAACAAGAUUGCUUGCUCCAAAAUCGAAGAGGCACCGCCCUCCGAAUCUCGAGAGCCAGACUCCCAACGUGAUUACUUUCUCAAAAAUCGAAGAGACACUGCUCCCCGAAUCUUCGAGAGCCAGACCCCCAGCAUGAUUGCUUUCUCAAAAAUCGAUGAGGCAUCGUUCUCCGAAUCAAUCGAAGAGGCGCUCGCUUUCUCAAAAGCUGGGCUGCUCAGAGACCACGAGGGCCGAUCUCAGAAAUCGAAGAGGCACCUACUUUUCUAGCUUUGUCAGCACCUGUCACACGCACACUCAGCUUUGCAGAAAUUAUGGGCAUUCUGUCGAAGACUUCUGGUGAAGUAGAAAGCACAUGAAUCUUACUGUUCAAUCACCCACUUCCCACACGCAACAAUAGCUCAUGGGUACCACAGAUAACUUUGCCAAAGUUCUCUGCCAAAGUUGAGCACGUGAAGCUUGCAGCUCCCACUACAUCGCUCUGACCAAGAAAGGUAAAAGAAUAGCAAAGAAACAGCACUAACAAAGUUUAGACACAUAAAUUUUGAAGGUCUAGCUACCAUAUUAUUACCCACAAGGGUAAAGGAACAGUACCACUGCUGGAUAAUUGGAAAGUCCCUGUGUGUCAACCUCUGUGCUUCGUGGCAAGGUAGACUAGCAAACAUGCCCAACCUUUACUCACAUUUCGAGAAAACACUCCCAACAAGAUUGCUUGCUCCAAAAUCGAAGAGGCACCGUCCUCCGAAUCUCGAGAGCCAGACUCCCAACAUGACUACUUUCUCAAAAGCGAAGAGAGGGUAAAGGAACAGUACCAUUGCUGGAUAAUUGGAAAGUCUCUGUGUGUCAACCUUUGUGCUUCGUGGCAAGGUAGACUAGCAAACAUGCCCAACCUUUACUCACAUUCGAGACAACACUCCCAACAGGAUUGCUUGCUCCAAAAUCGAAGAGGCACCGCCCUCCGAAUCUCGAGAGCCAGACUCCCAACAUGAUUACUUCCUCAAAAAUCGAAGAGACACUACUCUACGAAUCUCGAGAGCCAGACCCCCAACAUGAUUGCUUUCUCAAAAAUCGAAGAGGCAUCGUUCUCCGAAUCUCGAGAGCCAGAUACCACAGACCACUUUUUCAAAGUGCUCUGACAGAGUUAAAACAUGUGAAACUGGCAGCUCCCACUACCGUGCUAUGACCAAACAGGGUAAAGGAAUAGCAUUACUACUUGUUUUUAGGAAGACUCCUAUAUAUGUCGACCUCCAUCCCCAACGGACAGGCAGACCUGCAAAAAUGCUCAACCCUUCAUCAUAUCUGAGAGGGCACUCCCAACGAAGCCUUUCGAAAUAUUCAGCUUUCUUUCCCCCCGAUAAUACCUCUGCAAACAAGCUAUACUAGAGCAAGAAUAUCUCAUAUCAUCAGGGUUAAAAGCAAGAGUAUCCCAUAUCAUGCUUUUUCCCUGUCUUUUCCUUUGGCCUUGUUUUUACCUGCAAGACAAGGAGAAAGAGAGCAAUCAGUCAGCACUUGGAAUCAAGCUUCCAGCCAGGAACUGACUGCCUGGAACCCCUUACCUGAUUACUUACCUGGCAUUGCUCUCGAGUACUCAUCUUCAACAUCUUAUGUUUCCAGGGAAGAUUCCGCAUCUGCUUGAGGAACAGAUAGGGCAAGUGCGAAGGAUACAAGGAAGCAUGUGGAGACAAGCGUAACAGCACACGUGCCGAUACACCCAUUACUCUGUCAAAAGCAAAAGUAUCCCAUAUCAGCAGGGUGGAACGUACUCUAGAUUUGAUGGACUUGUUUUGACCCUCAAAUUCUUCAGUCGGCCUUAUACUCUGGAGGAAACCAGAAAACCCUCCAGCUCAGUUCAAGAAUAAGCCUGUGGAAAGUUACUUCUUCAAAAGCAAAAGUAUCUCAUAUCAUCUCUUCUCAUUUUUCUUCUCUUUAUCCUUCAUGCUGCUGCAAGAUGGGGAGAAGGUGAACAAUCAGUCGGAGCUCUGAUUGCUUACCUUGUCUGUCACCUCUUUCAGCAGACCCCCUAGCUCGGCGACUUGGGGGACUCCUACUACAUGGUUUGUAUCGCGCUUGACCAAGCCUGAGAACUACAAGUAAGCUUCAAGUGAAAUUGAUACAUUACCUUGUGCAUCUCCACCAGUUAAAGAUACCACCCCUGGAUGGAGGAAGAGUACUUCCAGAGAAGAUGCCACAUCUACCUAUGAGACAGAUAAGGCAAGUCAAGACGACACCACACUCCGAUACUUAGAAGUUUCGUGAUUACGAGAUCAUUCUCCCACAAUAUUUCCUAAUGUCAUUUGUACUAAAUCAUUCACUUGUACUCACUAAAUGAGAGCUUGAACCUAUGUACUUGUGUAAACCCUUCACAAUUAAUGAGAACUCUUCUAUUCCGUGGACGUAGCCAAUCUGGGUGAACCACGUACAUCUUGUGUUUGCUUUCCUAUCUCUAUCCAUUUAUAUACUUAUCCACACUAAUGACCGGAGCAAUCUAGCGAAGAUCACAAAAAGCGACCGUUUUCGCUACCUAGGAUCUAUCUCGCAAGAGAACGGAGAAUUAGAUGGAGAUCUCAACCAUAGAAUACGAGCUGGAUGGAUGAAGUGUAAGAGUGCAUCCGGCGUGUUGUGUGACCGUCGUAGGCCACUGAAGCUCAAGGGAAAAUUUUAUAGGACGGCAAUAAGGCCAGCGAUGUUGUAUGGCACAGAAUGUUGGGCGGUGAAGCAUCAACACGUACACAAAAUGGGUGUAGCGGAGAUGAGGAUGCUUCGUGGGAUGUGUGGGCACACGAGAAAGGAUAAGAUUGGUAAUGAGGAUAUCCGAGGUAAAGUAGGAGUAGCCGAAAUUGUAGGAAAGAUGAGAGAAAAUCGGCUCCGAUGAUUUGGACAUGUGCAAAGAAGGCCGACUGACGCUCCGGUUCGAAGAUGUGACUACGGGACAGAGGUUCAGGGCCAAAGGGGUAGAGGAAGACCUAGGAAAACUUUGGAAGAGACUCUAAGAAAAGACUUAGAGUACUUGGAUCUAACGGAGGACAUGACACAAAACCGAGCGCAAUGGCGUUCUAGGAUUCAUAUAGCCGACCCCACUUAGUGGGAAAAGGCUUUGUUGUUGUUGUUGUUGUUGUUGUUGUACUAGUGGAGACAGAAUAAAAGAACAAAAAAGAAAAACAUACAACAUGAGCUCUGUAAUAUGAUUUCAAGAAUUUAAAAACUCACUAGUGAUAUUUGGAAUGUGAGAAAUCUUAGGCCAAUCUGUGCCGCUGUCCUCGGUGCAUCAUUCCUUUAGAUGGGGAUGACAUCCAGAAAUAUAGAGAGUUUGUAAGUUGGUGAGGUGUUGCAUAGCUUGGACACUAGGUAAGCUCUUCAGAUUAUUGCAAGAAAGAAUCCUCAGCUAUUUAAGGGAUGUAAGGCUACCCAACCAUUCCGGCACAGUCUCCACUCCGUCAAAUGAAAAUAAUGAAAGUUUCUUUUCUUAAUAAAUAACAAAACUGUGAAUAAUUUUACCUUGUCAAUAUCUCUGAUUGGACAUUUUCCUCUUAUGUACACAUGAUAGCCCGUGGAAGCUUCCACCCGCUUUAGGGAAUUGCCACAACCUAGAGAAGGGGUGAAUACAUAAGAGUAAGCAACACAGUGGAUCAAAAUGAAUUCUCAAUUGAGAAAGCCGCCUAAUGCAAAUAGAUGAAUUUAGAAAAAGUCAGUGGAUAACUGACCCAGGAAGAAACAAUGCCGUAGGCUGAUACGUAAAGAGUAUUUUGGCAGUGUUCAUGUCCACAAAAAAGUAAGCAACAUUGUGACUCAACCUGUGGAUAGAAGACCACCAUAAUUAACUCCCAAACUCCCCGGACAGCGUUGCACAUUCUAAUCCCACAUCAGGAACGAUACGAGUCUUCUGAGUGGAAUACUACUGGGUAUCUCUCAGGACCUUUAGGGAAACAUGAUUGAAGUUGAAGAAUGAUAUUGAUCCGCCUAUGAGCUUUGAUCGGAAUCCCAAUAUCCCUGUACAAAGAUAACACCAAAACAACUUAAAGAAAAAUAUAAACAACAAAUUUCAAUCUUUCUCACAUCUUGAAGAAACAUUCCAGUCAUGGUUCAACACUUAGAUUCACAAUAAGUACUCCCACGCCAUUAACUGAGAAACUCUUCAAGUCCUCUGGUACCUCGGAAUUUGGAAUUCUCGAUUGUCAAUUGAAGCUAAUGAAGAAAAUGCCAGUUGAGAAGAAUUACAUAACACAGUAUAAUAAAAUCACAAAGAGAACAAGUCUGGGCCUGUAGAACCAAAGGUAAUCCGCUGAAGGAUGAACAAUUAAGUCCCCUCAAAUUUGUUAGCAUCAUAUAUUUCUCAGCAACCUCGCGAGACAUUUGAGAAAUUACAUGCCCCAACUUGGUGCCAACAGCAAGUGAAAAGCUGCAAGAAAGAAAUCACUAUUGAGUUUUAACUUUCAAACUAAUUCUGUAUAGUAUUAGUAAAACAGAUAGCCUGAUAUGACCACAGCAGAAAAGCUUGCAUACUGUUUAAGUUGCAAUUUUGGCAACAGGAAUACCUCUCCUCUAGCAUUUUCGUUUCCUAUCCCAUAGAAUUUUAUAUCCUCAACAGAAUACCCUGCCACCGCUGAGUCAUAGCGAGUUCCAUAAAUGAACAAGCCCUCGAAGACUUUCAUGAGUAAUAUCAAGGUCCAGUGAACUUGCUGCAAAAUAAACAUUUCAUAUGGCUACUCUCAUAAUAAUCUCUCUUGAUAAUUUCAGCAAUAAUACAGGUACUCAACAGUUCAUCAAGUUACUCGAGCGAUAUCAAUUACUGACACAAAAUCAAUAGAAUUCAAAUCACUGUGCAUAUUACAAGUUGCCCCAAAACUAUGAGUCGAAAAUCUUCACAAGAAAGCAAUUACAAGAGUUCUAUAUAUUAUAUUAACGUCGUUAACCUGAAAACAAGUCUUGGGAUAAUAUAAACAAAUUUCCUCAUUGUGCAUGAACCAAUGGAAUAAGCAACCUGCAAGAGAUGGAAGCAACAAAUGUGGUAAAUCUACCACUGCCAUUGUGAUCAGAAUAAAAAGUCAUUAGCAUGUAAGGGAUGAAAGGAUGAAAUAAUAUCUAAAACAACAAACACCACAUUUCUGUAAAAAAAAAACAUAUCUUGUGCUUCAGUACCUGGACUCUGCUUGCACCUACUGCACUACAUCGUUCCCGUUGCGUAGUUUCAAUCCAAGUAUUGUCUCAGACCACAACUGAUCAUUUAAAAGAAAAGAGAGAAGGAUAAACAAAUUAUGUUAUACUAGUUUAAAUUUGAGUGUACUACUAGUGGAGACACGGAAUAAAAGAAGAAAAAUGAUAAACAUAUAACGUCAGCUCAGAAAUUUGAUUUCAAUAAUUUAAAAACCUUACUUCUGAAAUAUGGAAUGUGAGAAAUCUUAGGCCACUCUGUGCCGCUGUCCCUGCUGCAUCUUUCCUCUAAAAGGGGAUGACAUCCAUAAAUCCUUGGAGAUUGUAAGUUGGUGAGGCGUUGCAUAGCUUGGACACUUGGUAAAUUCAUCAGAUUCUUGCAAUCCCAAAUCCACAGCUCUUAAGGGAUGUAAGGCUACCCAACCAUUCUGGUAAAGUCUCCACUCCGUCAAUGCAGAAGUUGGAGCCAUGUGGAGUCGUUGUACAUACAACUGGAAUAAAAGUAAUCUUGGAGAACUGUGGCCUUGCACACCAUGAAAUUUGGUAAGGUGCUGCCUACCAUCGAUUCAACUGCUGUGUGACUUAAAAAGGAGAAGGAUAAACAAAUUUUGUUAUAGUACGUGCUUUGAAUUUUUGUGUAGUAAUAGUGGAGACACAGAAUAAAAAAACAAAAGAGAUAAACCUAUAACGUGAGCUCUGUAAUUUGAUUUCAAUAAUUUUAAAACAUACUUAGGAUAAGUGGAAUGUGAGAAAUCUUAGGUCAAUCUGUGCCAUUGUCCCUGGUGCAUCUUUGCUUUAGAAGGGGAUGACAUUCAUAAAUAGUCAGAGUAUGUAAGUUGGCUCGGCGUUGCAUAGCUUGGACACUAGGUAAAUUCAUCAGAUUCUUGCAAUCUUGAAUGUCCAUCUCUGUAAAGUAUGUAAGGUUACCCAACCAUUCUGGCAAUGUCUCCACUCUGUCAAAUUGAUAUAUCACCAAAAAUGUUAGAAGUGAGGUGUUGAAUUUGUUGAGGCGGAGACUUGAGCUUAGGCCAACCAUACAAGGCUAAAAAUCAGGGAAGGAAUCGAGCUCCUCCCAGAACCGACCGAUUUCCAAAUGAUGGAGAGAAUGGAGGCUGUCUAAACUUGGAAGACUCUCUAAAUUCGGGAUGUCUCUUAUUGUCAGCGCCUCAAACGAGAGUGGGAAUUGCAGGCUUGAAAAUUAUCUUGAGUAAUUGAAGAUUCUUUUACCUAAUUUUUGCAAUAACAGGGUAUUUGACAUUUCAUCAAGUUAGUCAAGGGAUAUGAAAUAGAGAUAAAUAAAUCAACCAAAUUCAAAUCACUGUUUAUACGAUUUGAACACUGUUCAUAAAUCACAAGUCGGUCGUACCCAGUGCACAAGGCUCCCGCUUUACGCAUGGUCUGGGAGAGGUGAAUGUCGGCUAGCCUUACCCCCAUUUAUGGAGAGGCUGCUCCCAAGUCUCGAACCCGAGACCUACCGCUCAUGGGCGAAGGCACUUGCCAUCGCACCACUUGUUCAUAAAUCACAAGUAACCAUAAAAAUAUCAGUCCAAAAUCUUCAUAAGGAUAACAAUAACAAACAGAAAGUAAUUGCAGUAGUUCUAAAUAUUAUAUGAACAUGGUUUUACAUGAUGACAAUUCUUGGCAUUACUCAUCUAACACUACUUGGGUGCUGGCAGUGUGUGAUUAAACAAGAUUCAAUACCAUGAUGGGUGAUCAAGCUAGUGGUUCAGCACUCCACUCAUACAGAUGAACUAAAGAAAGUUAAAAUAUUGAUUGAUGUUGCCGGCAUUAAGAAAGAUAACAUGUAAAGGAGAAUGCCCAAGGACUAUAAAAAGAGGUAUAUUAUUGAGAAAUGAAGGUAGAGCGAGAGAAUUAAUAUUGUGUGCAUCAGUACCUGGAGUCAGUUUAUAGCUAUUGAGCAUCAUGAAAAACGCCACAGCAUAGCAAAAGAAAUAUAGAUGGCACUGGGAAACACACAACAUAUAUAGUAAGUCAGAAGUCAACAGUAGAAUGUAUUGAUCAAUUAGAAGUAGAAGAGAAGAGGAGAUGUGGGUUUGAAAAUCUUACAUGACUUAAUUUCAAUGCAAAAGUUUGAGCCAUUUGGAGUCGUUUGUACAUAAAACUGGAAUACAAGUAAUCUCGGAGAACUGUGGCCUUGCACAUCAUGAAAUUUGAUUUUCCCAAUACACAUUUGUUGUAGUAUCGCAAGGCAUUGCAUAGCUUCAAUCCAACUGUUGUCUCAGAAGUCUCAGCCCCAAACUGAUUUAAAAGAAGAGGGAGAAGGACAAACAAAUUAUGUUAUACUAGUUUAAAUUUGAGUGUAGUACUAGUGGAGACAUGGAAUAAAAGAAGCAAAGAGAUAAACAUAUAACGUCAGCUUUGUUAUUUGAUUUCAAUAAUUUAAAAACUUACUGUCGAUUUUUGGAAUGUGAGAAAUCUUAGGCCAAUCUGUGUCGUUGUCCCUGCUGCAUCUUUCUUCUAAAAGGGGAUGACAAAUCCAAAUCUCUAGGAAUUGUAAUUUGAUCAGACCACAACUGAUCAUUUAAAAGAAAAGGGAGAAGGAUAAACAAAUUACGUUAUACUAGUUUAAAUUUCAGUGUAGUACUAGUGGAGACACGGAAGAAAAGAACAAAGGAUAUAAACAUAUAACGUCAGCUCUGUUACUUGAUUUCAAUAAUUUAAAAAACUUACUUGUGAUAUCUGGAAUGUGAGAAAUCUUAGGCCAAUCUGUGCCGCUGUUCCUCAUGCAUCUUUGCUUUAGAAGAGGAUGGCAUCCAGAAAUAUACAGAGUUUGUAAUUUGGUGAGGCGUUGCAUAGCUUGGAAUCUUGGUAAAUUCCUCAGAUUCUCGCAAGACCAAAUCGUCAGCUCUGUAAGGAAUGUAAGGCUACCCAACCAUUCUGGCAAAGUCUCCACUCCGUCAAAUGAACAUAUCUCCAAAUGUGUUAGAGAAGUGAGGUGUUGAAUUUGUUGAGGCAGAGACUUGAGCUUAGGCCAACCCCACAACACUAAACUUGUAAGAUUCAUUAAUGAUGCAACUUGAAAAUCAGGAAAGGAAUCGAGCUCCUCCCAAAAUCCACCGAUAUCCAAAUGACGGAGAGAAUUAAGGCCGUCUAAACUUGGAAGAAUCUUUAAAUUAAGGAUACUGACUAUUGCCAGCGUCUCAAGAGAGAGUGGGAAUUGCAGGCUGCUCACCCAACUUUCUAAUCUUUCACAUCUUUCAAUCCACAUAAGUCGAAGGGAGGUCAUGAUGCGCAAAUCUGAAGUAGAUUGUAGACUAACUCCUCCUUCCCAACUCUGCUACUUUUGACACCAAACGAUGAUAGCUUUGGGCAUCCUCUUAUCCACAAUUCCUGAAGAGAUGGACAUUGUUGUGGAAGAACAGGUAUGCUUAUACUAGUUGUCUUAGAAGACUCAUUCCCAAACUGAUUUAAAAGAAGAGGGAGAAGGAUAAACAAAUUAUGUUAUAUUAAUUUAAAUUUGAGUGUAGUACUAGUGGAGACAUGGAAUAAAAGAAGAAAAGGGAUAAACAUAUGACAUCACCUCUGUAAUUUGAUUUCAAUAAUUUAAAAACUUACUUCUGAUAUCUGGAAUGUGAGAAAUCUUGCAUAGCUUCAAUCCAACUGUUGUCUCAGAAGAAGUCUCCUUCCCCAACUGAUUUAAAAGAAAAGGGAGAAGGAUAAACAAAUUAUGUUAUACUAGUUUAAAUUUGAGUGUAGCACCAGUGGAGACACGGAAUAAAAGAACAAAAGAGAUAAAUAUAUAACGUCACCUCUGUAAUUUGAUUUCAAUAAUUUAAAAAACUUACUUGUGAUAUCUGGAAUGUGAGAAAUCUUAGGCCAAUCUGUGCCGAUGUACCUGGUGCAUCUUUCCUCUAAAAGGGGAUGACAUCCAGAAAUCCAUGGUUUUUGUAAUUUGGUGAGGCGUUGCAUAGCUUGGACACUUGGUAAAUUCAUCAGAUUCAUCAAGUUACUCUAGCAAUAUCAACUACAGACACAAAAUCAAUAGUAUUCAAAUCACUCUGCAUACAAUUCAGAUAUUUCAAGUAGCCCCAAAACUAUCAGUCCAAAAUCUUCAUAAGAAAGCAAUUACAGCAGUUCUAUUUAUUAUAUCAACAUCAUUAUCCUGAAAACAAGUCUUGAGAUAAUAUAGAGUUAUAGACAAAUUUCCUCAUUGUGCAGGAAUCAAUGAAAUACGCAAACUGUAAGAGAUCAAAGAAACAAAUGUGGUAAAUCCACCACUACUAUUGUGAUCAGGAUAAAAAGUCAUUAGCAUGCAAUGGAUGAAAGGAUGAAACAAUAUCUUAAACAACAAACAACACAUUUCUGGAAAAAAAAAAAAAAACAAUAUCUUAUGCAUCAGUACCUGGAUUCUGUUUGCACCUACUGCACUACAUCGUUCCAGUUGCGUAGUUUCAAUCCAAGUAUUGUCUCAGACCUCAACUGAUCAUUUAAAAGAAAAGGGAGAAGGAUAAACAAAUUAUGUUAUACUAGUUUAAAUUUGAGUGUAGUACUAGUGGAGACACGAAAUAAAUGAAGAAAAGAGAUAAACACGUAACAUCAGCUCUGUAAUUUGAUUUCAAUAAUUUAAAAAACUUACUUGUGAUAUCUGGAAUGUGAGAAAUCUUAGGCCAAUCUGUGCCGCUGUCCCUCCUGCAUCUUUGAUUGAGAAGGGGAUGACAUCCCUCAAUACACAGAGUUUGUAAUUCAGUGAGGCGUUGCAUAGCUUCAAUCCAACUGUUGUCUCACAAGUAUCUGCCCCGAACUGAUUUAAAAGAAGAGGGAGAAGGAUAAACAAAUUAUGUUAUACUAGUUUAUAUUUGAGUGUAGUACUACUGGAGACACAGAAUAAAAGAAGAAAAAUGAUAUAAACAUAUAAUGUCAGCUCUGUGAUUUGAUUUCAAUAAUUUUAAAAACUUACUUAAGAUACGUGGAAUGUGAGAAAUCUUAGGCCAAUCUGUGCCGCUGUCCCUCUUGCAUCUUUCCUUUAGAAGGGGGUGACAUAUAAUUAUACGGAGAGUUUGUAAUUUGGUGAGGCGUUGCAUAGCUUGGACACUUGGUAAAUUCUUCAGAUUCUUGCAACCCCAAAUCCACAGUUGUGUAAGGGAUGUAAGGCUACCCAACCAUUUUGGCAAAGUCUCCACUCCCUCAAAGUGAUAUACAAACAAAUGUGUUAGAGAAGUGAGGCCUUGAAUUUGUUGAGGCAGAGACUUGAGCUUAGGCCAACCAUACAAGUAUAACCUUGUAAGAUGCAUUAAUGAUCCAACUUGAAAAUCAGGGAAGGAAUCGAGCUCCUCCCAGAACCCACCGAUUUCCAAAUCUUGGCAUUACUCAUCUAACACUACUUGGGCGCGGAUUUAAACUUGUCAUAGUACAAUGCUUGGAAAUAUCAUCUAGCAUAGCAACUGAAGAUUCUUUUACCUAAUUUCUGCAAAAAUGCGGGCAUUUGACAUUUCAUCAUGUUACUUAAGGGAUGUGAAAUAGAGAUAAAGAAAUCAACCAAAUUCAAAUCACUGUUCAUAAAUCACAAGUAACCAUAAAUUAUAUCAGCCCAAAAUCUUCAUAAGGAUAAUAACAAAGGAAUUGCAGUAAUUCUAUAUAUUAUAUGAACAUGGUUUUACAUGACUACAAAUCUUGGCAUUACUCAUCUAACACUACUUGGGCGAGGGCAGUGUGUGAUUAAACAAGAUUCAAUACUAUGAUGGAUAUUCAAGCUUGCGGUUCAGCACUUAUACAAAUGAACUAAAUAAAGUAAGCAUAUACCGAACUGAUGUUGCCGAAACUAAUAAAGAUAACAUGUAAAACAGAAUGCCCACGUGGUACCACGAAAAGAGGCUUGCUAGCUUGAUAAGGACUGUAACUUAAAGGUACAUCAUUGAGAAGGAAGGUAGAUCGAGAGAAUUAAUAUUUUGUGCAUCAGUACCUGGCCUCUGCUUGCACCUACUGCACUACAUCGUUCCAGUUGCGUAGUUUCAAUCCAAGUAUUGUCUCGGACCUCGUACUGAUCAUUUAAAAGAAGAGGGAGAAGGAUAAACAAAUUAUGUUAUACUAGUUUAAAUUUGAGUGUAGUACUACUGGAGACACGGAAUAAAAUAAGAAAAUAGAUUAACAUAUAAUAUAUACAACUCUUAGGAUAUUUGAUUUCAAUAAUUUAAAAACUUACUUGUGAUAUCUGGAAUGUGAGAAAUCUUAGGCCAAUCUGUGCCGCAGUUCUUGGUGCAUCUUUGCUCUAAAAGGGGAUGACAACCACGAAUCCCUAGAGUUUGUAAUUUGGUGAGGCGUUGCAUAGCUUGGACACUUGGUAAAUUCUUCAGAUUCUUGCAACCCCAAAUCCACAGAUAUGUAAGGGAUGUAAGGCUACCCAACCAUUCUGGCAAAGUCUCCACUCCCUCAAAGUCAUAUACAAACAAACCUGUUAGAGAAGUGAGGUGUUGAAUUUGUUGAGGCAGAGACUUGAGCUUAGGCCAACCAGACAAACUUAACGAUCUAAGAUGCAUUAAUGAUCCAACUUCAAAAUCAGGGAAGGAAUCGAGCUCCUCCCAGAACCCACCGAUCCCCAAAUCACGGAGAGAAUUGAGGCUGUCUAAACUUGGAAGAAUCUGUAAAUUAGGGAUUUUGACUAUGGACAGCGUGUCAAGAGAGAGUGGGAAUUGCAGGCUGCUCACCCAACUUUCUAAUCUUUCACAAUUUAUAAUAAACAGUUGUUGAAGGGAGGUCAUGGUGCGCAAAUCUGAAGUAGAUUGUAGACUAAUGCACUUCUCCUCCUUCUCAACUCUGCUACUUUGGACACCAACCCAUGAUAGCUUUGGGCAUCCAAUUAUCUCCAAGUACUGAAGAGAGGGACAUUGUUGUGGAAGAGCAGGUAUGCUUGAUAAUUCAUGGCAAUUCCAGAUUAUCAAGUUCUGAAGAGAGGCGGUGAGGGACCCGUUGCCUUUCAUUUCAAUUGAUGUCAGAUUAUUGCAAUACCUCAUAUCCAAUUCCACGAGAGAGGCCCACACACUCAAUCGGCCUGAUAAUCCAUCGCAAUUCAUUAAACUCACUUCCACGAGAGAGGCCCAUAAACUCAAUGGGCCUGAUAAUCCAUCGCAGUGAGUUAUACUCAAUUUCUGGAGAGAGGUGCAGUUCUUUAACCCACUCGGCAGGAGUGACAAUCGUCCACAACCUCCAAUCUCUAAUUCCCGUAGAGAUGCCAUGCCCUGUGCAAUUGGAAUCAACUCUAGACUAUCACAUCCCUUAAUAGUCAGUUCCUCAAGGAGCUGGAGCGUGUCUAGCCCAUCUGGCAAAUGCCUCAGCUUGUCGCAAUUCCAAAUGACUAAUUUUUUAAGAGAACCGCGAGAACCGACUACAUCUGGGGUAAUACACGUUAAAUCAUCGCAUUUCUUUAUAACCAAAGAAUAGAGAUUAUUAUUCUUCUUCAAAAUCCCCCGCGGCAAACAAGUAAGCUCCUUAAUACCUCUUAUUUCAAGAGAGGUAAGAGUUGUUAAUCCACUGCUUAUUUCUUCUAUUGGCGUUCUGCUAUCACAAGAAGACAUCUCCAACUUUUGGAGACAUGGAAAAUGACUCGGAGCAUUUCUCAAUUUGGAACAAUUUUCGACGGUCAACAUCUCGAGACAAGGAAAAACCACAACUUUUUUCCUUGACGUUGUUGGUGCUUGCUUCCAUUCAUUUAGAUCACCACAAUCAGAAAUAUAUAAUACUUUAAGCGCUGGAAAUAAAGUAAUUACCUCCUCACUUGUCGUGGCUAGAUUGUGGACAAGAUCAUAACCAUAGAACUCAUCUCCAACACAUUUCAAGUUAGCCAUUCCUCUAAUUUUAAGCUCCGUAAGACUGGGUAGAUGACCGAGCGGUGGGACUCCUUCACAUUUGUCACAUCCAAGUAAUUGAAUCCUCUUCAAGUUGUUGAGCGGUAAUGACCCACUCAUCAUCCAAGGUGGAAACUUGUUGCCCAUGAAGUUUGCAAUACUUAAGCUCUCCAACUCAAGAUGUGGUCGGAGGCCUUCUAGGACAUCUUCGUCCUCGUUGUUGUCUGUUGUUGACCUAUCUUCUGUCCAAUUGAAGCUUAAAUGGCGUAUUUUCGUCUUAUCCUCUAACUUUGCUUUCUUUGCUUCUUCUCCAUUCUUUACGAGUUGCAAAUUAGAAACAAUUAAUUCACCCUUCAAUUGUUUCAAGCUAGCCAACUCUUCAAUUCGACGACCAAUCUCAUUACCCACCGAAAAGUAAGGUAAUGUUCGAAGGCAAGUCAACCGACGUAUCCCUUUUGGGAAUUUGAUAUCCUCAUCAAAAUAAAUAUGUCUCAGGUUGAUCAAGUUUUGCAGUUCUUUCGGAAACUCUUCAAGGGCACAAUUCACUGCUCUUAAUGUCUGAAGGUUAUAGAGCUUGCCUAUAGAUUUGGGGAGUGCUUUGAAUCCUGUUUCAGAAAUGUCAAGAUACCUUAAGUGUUUCAGCCUACCAACUGAAACUGGAAGUUCUUCAAUAUUAGCAUUCCAUAAAUUCAAGACGCGUAAAGCUUUGAACUGUGGAAGAAUGUUAGUAGGAACUUCACCGUUGUCGGAAAACAGUGACCGCAAUUUCCUAGCACUUCUUGCUGGAAUAUUUUCCAGUGUAGAAGUAGAAACCCGAGCAACAUGUCGAAUCUCAAGUGUAUUAUCUCUGCCACAUAAGUCUCCCUUCAAGCUUUCAGAUUUGGACACAAGUUCUGCCAAAUCGUGCACAAGAUCAUGCAUCUUGCAUUUGCUAACAGUGCCAUUGUCACUAAUCGUAGCAUCUUGAAACAAAGAGCUAUGCAAUAGAAUAUCAAAAUACUCAUUGCCUGUGUCCUCCAUAUCUUUACUUUCGUCAUGUGAAGCUCGGAGUAGUCCUUGAGCCAUCCAAAGUUGAAUCAAGUUCUCUCUUUGAAUUUCAAAGUCUUUCUCGAAUAUUGAGCAAUAUGCAAAACAUUGCUUCAAUGAUGGUGAUUCUAAAUUGUCAAAACUCAAUCUCAAGACUGGCAUAAUUAUAUCUUCUUCUUUUGAUAGGUUGUCCCAUAUUGUAUUGUUUUUAAAUGACGGCCAUUCUCUGAUACUUUUUUUAGUGUGCAAAAUGCCUCCCAAAACCUGUUAAUUGGAUUAGUGAGUUCAAAUGCGUCCUAAAAUAAUGUAGAAAACAGGUUGUACAUAAGUAAAUUCAUUAAUUAAUUUGACUUCACACAUUUUGUUUGUUUUUUUGAAUGCCUAAAAUACCUCUAAUUACAUUUCUUUUUAUCAACGACCACCACUAUUUUGGUUUAGGGUUCAAAAUUGUUUUUACGGUAAAAGCAAUUUACCUAUUAGCAUUCUAUUUUACCUAGCUAAAAUAUAAAUAGAUAUAUUAUGUUGUUUUUGGUUUGAAACACACACAAAAUAAUGUAUCUAUUUUCCUUUUUCAUAGGAUUUAAUGUAUCUAUAUGUUAGUGUACCUACAUAGAAUAAAAAUAUUAAUAGUAAAAAUAAUUUACUUAUCUCAUUAUAGCUAUAUAAUGUACGCAAAAUUUUAUAUUAUUAUUUUUGAUCUAGCACAUUAUAGCUAUAUAUAUUGCAAUACAACUAAUUUACCGAUCCCUUGAAAUUUAAACAAGAUAGAUUAAUAUAGCUAUAUAUAUUAUUUUUAUAUAAAUUAAUCUACCUAUAUAUUAUUUAUAGAAAUAUUAUUUUUUGGUAUAUGUGGAAGACACAAUUUAGUGUGAGGAAUAACAUUUAUUGAAAAAUUAGGGUGAGUAAUAACAUCUUUGUGGCAUAUGUUGCAAAUAUUUAUAAUAACCAGUUAUUUAUUUGCAUAUACGGCAGAUUUUCAAAUUUAGGUUUUAUUUGAAUGUUUAACACUGGAUGAGUUUUUGUAUAGAAAGUAAAAGCUGCAAUGACCUAUCUCUCAAUAACCACUUUUGUAAUGAUGAUAUAUAUUCAAAUGAUGAUUACAAACAUGAAUGGUUUUGAUUCUAAAGUUUAUACAGUUAAAAUACGUUUUUCACAAGAACUUGUCCUUGUUUAUAAGGUGGUGCACCCAACGAGGUGGAUGCAAAUACCGUCCCAAUUUAUAAAUAGAAAUUUUAACUUUAAUCCUUAAAUAAUUUCACUUUUAGAUAAAUGUGUGGUGUAGGAUUAUAUAUUGAAAUAGUCAUUUGACUUCGUGUUCAAGUCAACAUUUAUAUUCCACAUCAUAUUUAUUAUUUUUUUCCUUUUAGAUUAACUUUUUUUUACUAUAAUACCCUUGUGUAAUUAAGGGAUAUGUGUCUUGUGUUGUACAUUUUUUAGGAGCCAUUUAUGGCUUAUUUUCUUACCUCGUUUGAAUUGAACUAAACAUAUUUGAGGACCAACCAUAUAUGCCUUCCAUACAUUUUCAAAUUAAUCAUUUUUUUAAAUUUUAUUAUAUGACGAGGUCGCAUGUAACCAUAUAUCUUUCAAUCAUAAACCUAUGAUGUACUGAACAAAAUAUUUGCACCUAAAUCAAGGGACCUAAAAUAUUGUACCUUUUUUGGUUUGAUACAAAGGGACCUAAGUUAAAGUGCCUAAGCAACUAUAAAUACAAUACAAAACGUUGUCAUACAAAUGAAAAUAAUGACUAAUUAACUCAGCAAAAUAGUUGCACCUAAAUAUGGCGUUAAUUGAUUAUAGGAAUUUCUUUUCUAUUUGAGAUCGAAUUGACUUAAGCAUUAACGUGAUAAUUAAAAUUGCCGUGUUAGAAUUAUCUAGCAUUACAUAUAAUAGGUAAGAAAAA
rnacentral:lncRNA from 1 species